rnacentral:lncRNA from 1 species
CUUUCUUUCGACAUAGGUAAUUUGAAGGUGCUUCUAGGAAUAAAUUUAUCAGAAAAUAACUUAUCGGGUGAUAUGCCAGCCACAAUUGGAGGACUGAAAGAUCUUCAAUUUAUGGACCUAGCAUUUAAUAGAUUGGAAGGCCCAAUUCCUGAAUCAUUUGGUGACUUGACAAGUUUGGAGGUUUUGAAUUUGUCAAAAAAUAAAAUCUCUGGGUCUAUUCCAACAUCCAUGGAGAAACUCAUUUACCUUCGAGAGUUAAAUCUCUCUUUCAAUAAACUUGAAGGUGAGAUUCCUAGUGGAGGAAUUUUUACCAACUUCACAGCUGAGUCAUUUAUGGGAAAUGAGUUAUUGUGUGGUUUACCAAAUCUUCAAGUCCAACCAUGCAAACUUAGCAAGCCUAGGACAGAACAUAAAUCAAGGAAAAAGAUACUUCUCAUUGUGAUUGUUUUGCCAUUGAGUAUUGCUCUAACGAUAGCAAUCACUCUAGCUCUCAAAUCUAAGCUGAUCGAAUGUAGAAAAAGAGGCACAGAGUUAUCAAAUGAUAGUAUCUUGUCAUCAGAAGCAACACUAAGAAGAUUUUUAUACUUAGAACUUUUACAAGCAACAGAUAAUUUUGCUGAAAACAACAUAAUUGGCAGAGGAGGUUUUGGUUCCGUUUAUGGAGCAAGACUUGAAGAUGGGAUGAAGAUUGCAAUAAAAGUGUUUCACCAGCAAUGUGCAAGCGCAUUGAAGAGUUUUGAGGCUGAAUGUGAAGUGUUAAAAAAUAUUCACCAUCGAAACCUUAUCAAAGUUAUCAGCAGUUGCUCGAACGAUGACUUCAAAGCAUUAGUCCUAGAAUACAUGUCCAACGGGAGCUUGGAGGAUUGGCUGCAUUCUAGCAAUUAUGUGCUGAAUAUAUUUCAGAGGUUGAACAUAAUGAUUGACGUUGCAUCAGCUUUAGAAUAUCUCCACUUCGAUCAUUCAACUGCUAUUAUUCAUUGUGACUUAAAGCCUAGUAAUGUAUUGUUGGACGAAAAUAUGGUUGCUCAUUUGAGUGAUUUUGGCAUAGCAAAGCUUUUAAGUGGAGAGGAUGAGUCUACGAUACGAACAAAAACCCUUGCCACUCUAGGUUAUAUGGCACCAGGUUUGCUUCAAACAACUUUCGUUUUUAGUUCAUUUUAAAUUUUCCAACUUAUUGAUUUUUACAAUCCUCACAUCAAAAUGUUAUUGAUUAUUUAUCUAAUUGUGAAAUUAAUUUGAUUCAUAGAGUAUGGCAUAGGAGGAGAAGUAUCUACAAAAAGUGAUGUUUAUAGCUAUGGGAUUAUGUUGAUGGAAACUUUUACCAAGAAAAAACCCACAGAUGAAAUUUUUGUUGGAGAAUUGAGCUUAAAGCGUUGGGUUAAUGACUUGCUUCCUAAUUCAUUAGUGGAAGUUGUGGACAAAACUCUGCUAAGUGGAGAGGAAAAACAUUCUGCAGCAAAGGAGCAAUGUCUGUUGUCUAUCUUUAGUUUGGCUCUGGAGUGUACAAUGGAAUCACCGGAAAAGAGGAUUAAUGCAAAAGAUAUUGUUACCGGAUUACUCAAGAUAAGAGACACAUUGAGUAAAAGGAUAGGAAAUUUAAGUUAAUUUCGUUUGCUUUCAUUGAUAGUUAAUUCGAAUUCAUGUAAUAAGUGUAAGAACCUUAUAUCUUUUACUUUGAUUUUUUUUUUCUUGAGAAAACUGUUGUAGUCAUCUUGUUUCCAUGGGCGGAGUUGAUUUAGUUCUUCCAAGAAAUGCUACUGAUGACAUUUGUUUUAUACUUUCUCUUUUUUUUUGCAUGUGUUUAGGUAGAAUAGUGGUUUGGUUGCACUCUAAGAAGUCUAACUACACUAAAAGAAUAUGAUUUAAUUUAUUAAACAAAACUUCAAGUUCAAGAAAAGUAUCUCAUUGCCCCCAAUGCUUUGGACACCUAUUGGUAGGUUUGUACGUGUCCUCAACUUUUUUUUGGAGCACAAAAUUCGAGUCCCAUAAAGGCUCAAACAUUCCUUUCCUUCAUCCCGAGGGCGCCUUCUGUCCUCUGUUUUCUGUUUCCACACACAAAUAGCAAAAAGAAAUUAGAAUGACAACUGGGACAUAUAUAAGAGUGAAAUAAUUAAAAAAAUUAUGCUUUUUUGUCUGUCGUGUUAAAAUCGUAAGUACCGAAGUACUGUGAAAGAGAUUAAUUUACAGAAACUGAAGCCAAGGGUUCAAAAAAAACUAUUGAUGUAGGUAGAAUGCAAUGUCAUAUUCAUACAGAGAUGAAGUAUAUUAUUUACGGCUGGUAAGGACUAAGAAUUGAUGUAGCUAGAAUGCAAAGAUGAUGAGGUAUGUUGUACACUAUUGUUUUUAUUCUACAAUCAAUCUUGACCCCUGAUGCUUGGCUCUCAAUCUUGUCCAUUGAUCUUCUCUGAUUUUGGAGACUUGAAGACCUUUCAGUAUCAUGCCUUGUUGUUGGUGUCUUCCGUGCUGUAGAAUUCAUAUACAAGUUUUCCCGCCGACUUGCCAAGUAUUUGUUCAUUGAUGCAUUUUAUCAAACAGUUGGCCUGCUCAGAGCAAACAGCUCCUGUUUUAACUCCCCCUCCGUAGCUCAACUAUCUGGGAAGACAAUUAAUUGAGCUUGUUUCACAAUUAUAUGAAUCUGAAAGUUCAAUUAUAUCCUCUAAUGGAGAGAACUCAUUGCCUCAGUAUGAUCACUGUGUCAUCAACCCACUCCCCGCUUCUUUGCUUGGUUGUUGCAGCAAGCAACAAUUUUACCACAGAUCAACAAUAGUUUGUCCAUUUGUUCCAGUGAGGUCGUCAUUAAAAAUUAAUUUUCAUAUUGAUUUUCUUAAUUAUAAAUAAUACUAAUGAUAUUUCAUAGUUAUAAAUAUAUUAGAAUUAAUCGAAAUCAUUUUUUAGUGCGGCAUGGCUAAAACUACCUUUUUUUUUUUUAAGUAAUUACUACUUCAAGGAAAAUACUCCUAUUUUCAAGGAAAAGUCAAGUACCCGUAGUUGUGAAGACUCGAGCUCACCCUCUUAUGAUAAAUCUUCUUAUCAAUUACAUAAAUAUCCUCUAAAUUUUUAGUUAACUAUUCAAAAUUCGAUGUUAUACGGGUAUUUCAUUUAUUUGAGUAGGGGUUCGGGGUCAAUUGGAUACAAAUUCAAAAUUAUCCUUACUUGAGAAGGUGAUAAAAAUUGGGGAUUUAGUUUGGAUGCAUUAGCUACAAAUAUUAAACUCAUACAUCUAAUUCAAAAUUAGAGGGCUGAUAUAUGUGCAUCCUCGUGCACAUUAUAGUGACACGUGUCACCAUCCUACAACCUAUCCAAUGAAAAAUUGACAUGCAUCUUGUGCGCUUCUGAUCAAAAUCCUGAAAAUUAAUCACAAAGUUAUACUUUUAUUAUAAAAAGAAUAAAGAAACUCCAAAAAAAAAAAAAGACUUACAUAUAUAAAUAGUUUGAAUAAUCUAGAUUCCAAGUUGUCUAUAUUAGCUUGAUCUUUUUAUAAAUAGUCAUCUUCGAAAAAAAAUUCCACCAACAUAUAUUUUAAUUUUAUGUUAAUUAAUAAAUAGAAAAAAAUCAUUUUAGAAUUAAUUAAAACAUUAUUUAUUGUUGCCAAAAAAAGGAAGAAUUUAGUGAUAAGAAAAAAGUGUCUCAAAUAUACGUUAAAAAAAUUAAUCAUGGUGGGUUCGAUUGAUUGAAUUUUUUUUUUUAAUCUUUUUCUUUUUUAAGAAUUAAGACAAUUGGAUUGAUUGAGUAAUAAUAAAAUAUAUUUAUUUGGCAAAUGGCAGGUAGGCUUUCUUCUGAUGCAGAUUGAUUAUAGAGAAUAUACAACAAUUUUAAGCUCGUCAGAUUCGGAACCUGCUUAUCUGUCGUGUGGGGAUCACUUCCGUGUCUUAUUUUUCUAGAAAAAUCUGGACCAUUAGGCAGUAGAGAAAUGUUGAUCUUGAUUCCUGAUCAGGAUCGAAGUUUGAUUCUAUCUAACAUGAUAUCAGAUUGCGAAGCAGGCUAGUAUGUAAAUUUCUUUUAUCUUUUAGAGGAAAAUGGGCAAGAGAAGAAGAUUUGGCAAAGGAAUUGCAACCGCAUUUCUAGUAUGUUCUGAUCAGAGAAGCGAAAUCCAUCACGGUCUUUUAUCUUUACCCAUGUGGAGAAAUCAAGGGAUUUCGAAUCAGAGAAGCGAUGGGAUUUAGUUCUGAUCUGGGAUUUUGGAGACUUAGGGAGUGUGCGGUCUUGGACCAACAUUGAUGACGAUGACGCUUCAAAUUCAAUGACUUGAAAGCAGAAAACAAAGACAGACAAAAACAGACAUGCACUACAGCAAGAAAGAUUGACUGAAUCUUGGGUUACUGUGUCUGUGGUCUCAAAUGAAACACAAGUGGGAAGCCUUGCUGCAGUUUCAGCUUUGGUUUGUGUUUGAAGUUUUGAAUGUAAAAAGAGAACCGAGCAUGUGGUUGCCGACAAGAAUGGCCUGAGGUUUCUUAAGCUUCAUUGUAAUGUUACAACUGCUACUAAUUUGGUGGGGUGGGAGGUCGCUGGGUCGCUGUCAGUCCAUUUGCUUCUUUUCUUUCUUUUUGUUAUUUGUUGAGUUUUUUCCAUUUCUACUUUUCUUAAUAUAUAAAUUAUCAUUUUUUUAACAUGCAAAAUAUAUAGAACAUUUUAUGAGUUUAUAAAUAAAAAUUAUAUUAUGGGAUAAUAGUGAAUGAGUUCCUGGUGCUUUGGAGUUCUUUAAAUUAAGGGCCCAGUUUGUCCAUUUGUUUUAGUUAGGUCCUUCUUAAAAAUUGAUUUUCUUAAUUAUAACUAAUACUAAUGAUAUUUCAUAGUUAUAAAUAUAUUAGAAUUAAUCCAAAAUAUUUUUUAGCGUGGCAUGGCUAAAACUACCUUUUUCUAUAAGUAAUCACUACUUUUGCAUUAAGGAAAAUAUUCCUAUUUAAAAAAAAAUUGAAUAUCUAUAGUUGUGAGGACUCGAACUCACUCGCUUAUGAUAAAUCUUUGUUGAUGCGAGAUUCUGGUUACCCACUCGACCACGUCCAGGAUCUCUGCUCAAUCAACUAACUCGACCACGAUCAGGAUCUCUCCUCGUAUGCUUUCUUCUUCAAAAAUUCCUGCGUACACAGAAACAAGUCAGAGCACGCCAGUUGUUUUCCCGGCGUAAACCCUCCGACGCUCAAGUCAGAUAUGAAGGUUUUGUGUUCCUGGGAACGUUAGCCACUAGUCUUAAGCUUUGCUUUUGGUAUCGAUUGCUGAAUGCUCUCUUUAUCUCAAUUUCCGUAUUAAAAGUUAACCCUUUUACCUUCGUUGGCUGCCUUUUUAUAGGCUCCACCUGAGUCCAGAUCCUCCCCUCCAUUCACGCCCGUUACCUUCCCACCUCUCGAAAGUGGAUGCUUUGUUUCCGUAAUCGUGGGUGAUUGCAUGGCCUUCGUGCCUCGAUUCUCAGGCUGGAGAGUACGUCUCGCCAACUGUCGUUGACUGGGUCUCCUCGCCUCAAACCUUAGCAGGAAUGGCUUUAUGCUUCUAACAAGAGACCGGCUUCGCGGAUGGCGUAUUCAUGGACGAGCAGAUAUUCCUGCUUAUGUUCCAAUGCUACCAGACCUCUGCUCAUCACGGCUGGUCUCGUCGAAGUACAUCCCCCAAACACCGGUCCCCCAGUUUCUGGUGUUGGGUAACAUAGUGAGCCAACAGUAGAAACUCGACAGUUCUUGCUCGCGCGAGAUAGGAAAAGACUGCCAAGAGUCGUGUCGCAUUUAAUGGCGGAUGAGGUGAUGUGGCAGAAAUCUACCCCUCCAUUUGAAUUUCAAACCGACGGUUACGAAACCCUAGGGAUUUGUGCCGUUAAAUGCCGGCAGCCCAAGAGUUUGUUCUUCAUUAGGAAAACCCAAAACCCCCAAAAGAGGAACUCGUCUUUUACUCCGUUUCUGUCUCUCCUGCGAAUGAGUCCUUCCUCUCCCUCGGCGUAAAAGCUUCCUUCCUUGUCUCUCUCCGACUAAGUCACAACUUCAGGUACUAUUUCUUUUUUCCUCGGUCGUGGAUAGUUGUAAACAAUUUCUUUUACAUUUUGCUUGGGUAGUGUUUGGUGGUGCAGUUCUGGUUAUAGUUUAGGGAAUGUCGAAAGGUAAGGAGAAAGUCAUUGAGAUUGAUGACGACGAGUUAGACUUCUUGCCUAGUCUGCUCGCCGAUUCUGCUUUCGACACCGGGAUCCCCUUAGAACCCGUUAGACCUAAUGUUGCGACUAGUGCUAGGAGGAUGUCCCCCCAAGUAACCUCCUCAACUGGAAAUAGCGACGACGAGGGUUCUUCUGGUUCGGAAGACACUUUGAGUGAAGAUCAGGGAAAUGAUUCUGGUGAGAUGUCCUCACCAGGAACAUCGUGACCAGAUAGGAGGGGCAUAGUAGGAGGUAGAGCUCUAUCACAGAAUUACACUAUUGAUUUUAUGACGUGCACGACCACAGUAGAUGAGCUAGUUAGUCUCCGGGCUAGAUACGGCAUCCCUGAUGAAAUUUCCCUUAGGAUCCCAGGAAAAAAAGAUACCCCCAGCCGGCCUCCUAGGGGAUAUAUUACUCUGUUUCUAGAGAGUUUUAAACUUGGGCUAAGGUACCCCAUACAACCCUACUUUGCCCGAAUACUCAAUGGGUUGAAUUUAGCUCCUGGUCAACUGAACCCCAAUGGGUGGUGAGUACUUUCUGGUCUGUUCAUAUUGUGAGACAGAUGUUGCCAAAGCGAGCCAACAAUUGACGAGGUGAAGCACCUGUACCAGCUAAAGAGCAGCCCCAAAGAUGUCGGCUGGUAUUACUUCCAGUCUAGUACCAAGACCAGGAAACCCAUAACCGAUCUUCCAACUGGUGGUGGUAGGACUUGGAAGAAAAAAUUCUUUUUUGCUGGGGGUCCCUGGGGUCAAGUUGCACAGAUUGACGAGAAGGAUUACCGUGUCCCACCUCAUUUCGUGGUCCCAGGUUGCCUACUCGCUUAAGAUGUUUUGUCUCCAUAGUCGUUCUCAUUUUGCUGAUUUGUUUCUAAUCCAAAAUCUGUUCGCAUUGCAGGUUCCUGGGGUGUGCACUACCAGCUUAAACCCGAGCCGCUCAAGCGAGUCGAAGCUGUACUGGCCAAUUUCUACACGAACCGAGAGCUGCUAACUACUUUCAAUUUGGUCGAAUCUCGUUUGGUGUCUACCGGCCAUAAAAUGGAGGAUGCUGUGAUCGGGGCUCUGACUCGGAAACGUCCCCAACCUCAUGCUACCAAGCAGGACCAGAAUAAAUAUGCUCCCACUGCGAAGCGGGUGAACAUUGUGCAGCAGGUUCCUCCCUUGAAGACCCUACCACCUCCUUCUGCCAAAGUCGGAGAAACUAGCGGAGCAGCCACCGAUCCCGCUUCCUCUUAUCCUCCAGUCGGGCCGAGAUCUCGUUUAUCUGACAAUCGAGCAAAACAUUUGGUCCCCUAUAUCAACGAGUUCUCUAAACUCGUGAGCAAGAGGGACCUAGAGGACUUUGACGACAGCACCUUGGGUGAGCUGGUGGGGGCCAUGCAAUAUAGCGCUUUCCAUCUCGACUGUAUGGCCACUUACUACAAGGCCAAGGUUGGUCGUUAUGACCGAAAGAUGAAGGAGGACAUUCAAUCGGCCAUGAUCAAAGCUGAUGCUGCCGAGAAGAAAGCAGGGGACUUGAAUCUCGAGAAUUUGAAGUUGAUAGAGCGAGAAUCUCUUGCUCAAGCAAAAGCCAUUACUCUCGAGGAUGAGCUAGCUAAGGUCAAGGAGGAUCUGCAAAGACAGCAGGCUAUGUACGAGGCCCAGCUCGAAUCUCUUCGGGAUUCCCACAAGGUUUAGGUCGAGAACCUGGAGAAGGAAGCUGAUAAUCAAUAUGACCAGGGGCUUCAGCACUCCUAUCAUUGCAUCAUGGCCGUCCUUGGGAAGCAGCAUCCGGAUAUGAAAAUGGACGAGCUUGCUACUGGUGUUGCUCAGCAUAUGGAUGAGGAGGCAGCAAAAGAGGACGCCGAAGAGGUGGAGCCAACUGAGGUUGAGGAGGGAAACACUCCUCCUCGUGCAAUCCUUGCUGAUGUCGCUGAGGCGAGUACCCCCCGAAUGCAACUGGUGAUACCCCCUGCCCCUGAGGUGGACCAGCCAACCAAGGCUGCUCGGCUUACUGACCCGCCGUCCUCUUGAUUGUAUUUUGUGUUGUAGUUGCUUUCUUGAAACGCUAUAUGUUAUGACUAGCAGUUUUUUCUGGUUGUUGAUUAAUAAAUAAGAAUGUUCUCAUUUGCUUUCUCGUCGUAAAUCAUUUUAAGUUUGAGGGUCUACUUGCCUUCUCUUGUACUAGCAGUUCUUGACACGCUUGGCUUCUGGUCUCGCCAUAGAACAUGCUUGUGACUUGGUGAGCCUUUGCAUGCCUUAGAAAUUUUUUCAAUGUUGGGAUUCUGCUCGCCUUCGCUUGGUCGAGCAGAUCUUGGCACGCUUGGCUUUUGGUCUCGCCAUAAAAACAGGCUUUGAAAAUUGGUGAGCCUUUGCAUGCCUUAGAAAUUUUUUCAAUGCUUGGGAUUUUGCUCGCCGUCGCUUGGUCGAGCAGAUCCUGGCACGCUUAGCUUUUGGUCUCGCCAUAAAAUAGGCUUUGAGACUUGGUGAGCCUUUGUAUGCCUUCGAAAUUUUUUCAAUGAUAGGGAUUCUGCUCGUCGUCGCUUGGUCGAGCAGAUCCUGGCACACUUGGCUUCUAGUCUCGCCAUAAAACAGGCUUUGAGACUUGGUGAGCCUUUGCAUGCCUUAGAAAUUUUUUCAAUGCUUGGGAUUCUGCUCGCCGUUGCUUGGUUGAGCAGAUCCUGGCACGCUUGGUUUCUGGUCUCGCCAUAAAACAGGUUUUGAGACUUGGUGAGCCUUUGCAUGCCUUAGAAAUUUUUUGCACAGUUACAAGUGAAUGAAAUUCCUCGACGUUUCAUUAAUUACAGAAUUCAACUUACAUAGGAAUGCAUAGCAACGAGAACAAAUUAAAGUAAUUUUUGAACAUGAGCAAGUCUUACUGGAAAUAUUUCCUGAGGUGCGCUGCGUUCCAUAGGCGUUUCACCUCGUGGCCAUCCGUGCGAACAAGCUUGUAAGCUCCGAGUCCCACUAUCUGCUUGACCCUGUAUAGCCCCUGCCAAUUCGGUCCAAGCACUCCUUGAGUCGAGUCUUUGGUGUUCUGAUUCACUCUCCUUAGCACCCAAUCUCCGACCCUAAACUGCCGUACAUUCACCUUCUGGUUAUAAUACCGAGCAACCCUCUGCUGGUAAAUGGCUAAUCGCUUCGAUGCUUGCUCCCUCUUCUCUACAAGCAAAUUCAGAUUCAAGCACAUCUGCUCGUUGUUAUCUUGCUCAUUGAAAUGAUCUGUCCGGUGCGUGGUCGUUCCUAUCUCGGCUGGUACGACCGCUUCAUGUCCGAAGGCCAAGGCGAACGGUGUUUCUCCAGUUGCUGUUUUGUAGGUUGUCCUGUAUGCCCAUAAAACACAUGAUAGCUCAUCAACCCAUGCUCCAUUUUUUGCUCCAAGCCUGGUUUUCAAAAGCCUCUUGAUCGUCUUGUUGGCUGCUUCUACUUGUCCAUUGGAUUGAGGGUGAGCAAGCGAGCAGUACUUCAACUCUAUCCCGAGGUUCUGGCAGAAAUCCCUGAAACUGUGAUUAUCGAACUGCCUGCCAUUAUCCAUUACCAAGGCAUAGGGGAUCCCGUACCGACAGACCAGGUUUCUCCAUACGAAGUCUGUUGUCUUCUUCUCUGUGAUCUUGCUGAGGGCUUCUACUUCUAUCCACUUCAUGAAGUAGUCUAUUGCUACUAUUCCAUGUGUUGUUGCUCCUCGUCCCCUUGGCAACGGCCCGAUCAGAUCAAUUCCCCACUGAGCAAAUGGCCAAGGGGAGGCUAUAGAGGUGAGCUUCUCUGGUGUUUGGCUGGAGAAACUUGCAAAACUCUGGCAGCUUAAGCAGCUCCUGGUCUUCUCCUGCGCAUCCUGGUGCAUUGUCGGCCAGAAAUAUCCCUGCCUUAGAACCUUAUGGGCAAGGGACCUCCCACCAGAAUGGUUUCCGCAAAUUCCUUCAUGUACUUCUCUCAGUACGUAGUCUGCGUUGUCCUCAUCUAAGCACCGAAGGAACGUGAGUGUAUAUCCUCGCCGAUAUAGCACCCCAUCAAUCAUUGUGUACCUUGAGUCUUGGGCUCUAAUCUUCCGAGCUCGUAGCUUAUCUGGUGGUAACACCCCGUCUCUGAUAUAUGAAAUUAUCGGAUCCAUCCACGAGCCUUUUUGUUCUAUCUGCAUCACCUUCAAAUUCUGCUCGAUGCUAGGGUUGGUUUUCACUUCCAAAGGGACCGUCUUAGGCAUUUUAGGGUCUGCUACAACUGUCAUCCUGGCCAGAAUAUCGGCUCGACUAUUUUGUUCCCUUGGGAUUUGUAUCAACUUAACCGCUUCGAACUUCCUCAUCAUCUGCCUGACUUUCUUCAAGUACUGCUCCAUCUUCUCAUCUCUCGGUUGAAAACUUUCACUGACAUGAUUUGCGACCAGCUGAGAAUAAGUUCUGAUCUUCACCCUAUCUGCUUUCAUUGCCUUAGCCAAUUCCAAACCUGCUAUCAAGGCUUCGUAUUCUGCCUGGUUAUUUGUGGCUGUGAACUCUAACUUUACAGCAUAAGAAAUCUCCUCCCCCUCUGGGUCUUUUAAGACAAUUUCUGCUCCUGAUCCUUGCUCACCUGAUGACCCAUCUACAGACAUCUGCCAUACUCGAGCUUUGCUGCUAUCUGUAGCGGUGUCCAGUUGGUCCAAACAUACUUCAAGCUCCGCGAAUUCUGCUAUGAAAUCGGCCGUUGCCUGAGCCUUUAUUGCUGCUCGGGGUUUGUAAUCUAUGUCGAACUCGCUAAGCUCUAUAGCCCACUUCACGAGCCGACCAGAAGCAUCUGGCUUGUGCAGAGUUUGACGCAAUGGCUGGUUUGUUAUUACCGUGACGGGGAAUGCUUGAAAGUACGGCCUCAGCUUCCGAGCAGCAACCACAAGGGCGAGUGUCCAUUUCUCCACCAAUGGGUAUCUGGUCUCGGCAUCGAGCAGGGUCUUGUUGGUGAAGUAUAUCGGGUACUGAACCCCUUCUUCUUCUCUUACUAGAACAGAACUUGCAGCAUGAUUUGAUACCGCCAAAUAUAAGAACAACCUAUCGUCAUCCCUUAGUGUGGACAGCAAAGGUGCUUGUUGCAAGUACUGCUUCAAGUUCUGGAAGGCUUCUUCACAUUCUGGGGUCCAUUCUGUAUUCUUUCCUCUCCUUAUCACUUGGAAAAAUGGCUGACACUUAUCUGUAGCCUUGGAUAUGAAUCGGCUUAAUGCCGCCAACCUCCCCGUAAGGCUCUGUGUCUCCUUCAGGUUACGAGGUGACCUCAUCUGCACGAUCGCCUGGAUCUUCUCAAGAUUUGCCUCGAUCCUGCUCGAACAUGGGGAUUUGGUUGUAUCCCGAGAAUGCGUCCAUGAAGCUGAGCAAGCCAUGUCCGGCUUUUAAGUCUACAAGCUGGUCAAUCUUUGGUAAUGGAAAGCUGUCUUUCGGGCACGCCUUGUUGAGGCCCGUGAAAUCCACACACAUCCUCCACUUGCCAUUAGCCUUUUUUACUAACACCACAUUCGAUAUCCACUCGGGAUAAUUGACUUCCCGAAUGAACCCUGCUUUCAAGAGCUUCUCCACCUCGCCGUUUAUAGCCUCAUACCUCUCCUGGUUGAAGCACCUCCUUUUCUGCCUUACUGCCCGAGCACCUUUCUUUAUUGCCAGUUUAUGACAUGCGACCUAAGGGUCGAUUCUUGGCAUGUCUUCAUGUGUCCAAGCAAACACAUCUGCAUGAGCCCGCAAGCAUUGCACCAACUCCUGCUUCUGCUAUUCUUUAAGCCUCAACCCAAUUCGGAUCGUUUUUCCCAGAUCCUUUGGUCCUAGGCUCACUGUCUUCAACUCCUCUACAGGUUCUUGUCUACCAGUCUUGGUUCCCACUCGGGUAUCAAGGGAUGUUAUCUGCAUUGCUUCCCUUGCUGACGAGGAGUAAUAGCUUCGUGCGAUUCUCUGGUCUCCUCAUACCACUCCAACUACCCCAUUCACCCGGUACUUGAGAGCUAGAUAAUGGUUGGAUGACACCGCUUUACUCAUCCUCAGAAAUGGUCGACCUAGGAUCAUCUGGUAAGGACCCUCUUCAUCGACUACCAAAAAAUCCAGCAUCAUAGUCCUUUCUGUCGGGGAGCUUCCAAUCGUGAUAGGCAGCUCAACCACGCCCAGGGGGACCAGCUUUCCUCCUCCAAAUCCCUUCAAGGAGGUAUUGGUGUGCUCCAACCUCAGGUCUGUUAUUCUCAUCUCCUCCAGAGUUGACUUAAACAACACAUCAACUGAGCUCCCUGUGUCAACCAGUAUCCGGUCAAACUUCUUGCUGGCGACGGUGGCCUUGAUGACUAAGGCAUCCUUGUGUGGGUAUAGAAUCCCUUAUUCAUCCUCAUCUGUCCACAUGAUUGGCACUUGUCAGACUCUUGCUCGUUUGGCUGCUGGGGUGUUGAAGAACACAUCUUUACUAGUCAUGGCAAAUUUAGCAUAAUUUUUCCUCGAUCUGUUGGAAUCUCCGGCCAACGUUGGACCCCCUAACAAUCACUCUUACUAUAGGCUGCCUGUGGCUCAAGUUCCUGUUACCCUGCUCCUCUUCACAUAUCGGGGCCACCGUCGGAAAAGUCCCAUCGAUAAACUCGUCCAGGUAUCGAUUUCUCACCAAAUCUUUAACCUGGGUCUUAAGGUCUCUUCAUUCUAUUGUGGUAUGGCCAUGAGUACCAUGGAACUUGCAAUAGUGCCCCUAUCCCUUCUGCUGGGUAGCUUUGUUAUUGGGGCUGGGAGGUACAGUAAUCCCCAGUCCUUUAUGGCCUCACAGACUUCGUCCAGUGGGAUAUUCAAGGAAGUAUACUGCCCAUAGUCCUGGUUCUGGUCGAUCAUAUGCACUGCCCUUUCUCUGUUUGUGCCAUUCUGAGUUGGAGGUGGUGGCAGCGCUUCUGGUCUGCUCCCCCUACUACCAUGGGGGUGUGGGUGAAGGUGACCGUAUGUCGCGUCAUGCCUUCUCCUAGGCUCCCUAGCUGGUGAGCGAGAAGGUUGCGCCCUGCUGUGCUGAUACUGUGGUGGCCUCUAAUGAGGUUGGUAAGCGGUUACCCGACCUCUUGUACCACUACCUAAGGCAUGGUGGUCCCUCCUCUUAAUCGGCCCAUUUCCUGGUACGGCUCUCUUCUCUUUCCUCUUUAAUCCUUCCAGCUGGUCUGUCUUAAUCCGUGCCGCCUUUUCCUCCUCUAUUUCUAUGUCUCUCUUAGCCUGCUCGUAAGCAACUGAAUAUGUCUGAAUAACUGGGCUUCUCAAGUUAUAUCACAUCCGUCUUAUCUUCACUCCUUCUUUCAAUCCCCUUAAUGCCUGAGGAUGGUUGAAGGCUCCCAAGUCGAGGACAGCACGGUGGAACCUUUUGAUGAAUUCCCGAAGGGUUUCCUCCUCUCUCUGCUUCAUGCUCGUUAACUCCAUCAUAUCAUCUUCCGGUGCCAUUACCCCACGAAACUGCUCUGCAAAUUCCUGGCACAUCUGCUCGAAGGCUUUAAUGCUCCCUCGAGGAAGUUUCCUGUACCACUCGCGUGCUCGUCCCUCUAGAGAUAGUGGGAACACCCUGCAUCUUUGGGCUUGAGAUAGUCCUUGCACCCCGGUCAUGUUGUUGAAGCGCUCUAUGUGCACCAACGGAUCAGUUCGCCCCAAAUAUCUGAGGUCUGGGAGGCGAAAAUCUCUUGAAAUGACUGCCCUCAUGAUCUCUGCCGAGAGCGGGGUUUCUCCGUCCAGCAUUAUCCUCCAACCAGGUGCUCUACUCCUUCCUUGCAUAUCAUCAAUUACUUGCGCUAGUUUGCGCACUUCCUUCUCUAGCUGCAUUGCACGACCAGGGUCACGUGCUGUAACUUGAUCCCGCUCUUUCUCUACAUCAUGUAAGUAUUGCCUGAGCUCUGUUUCCUCUGCAUUCACCACCCCAUCAUCCUCAUCAAAAAUCUAUCUUCUUGGGGAUUGCUCUUCUUCUCUAUGAAUUCCUCCCCGUAAAGAUAAGUUACCUCUCUCACCACCAAAUCUCCUGGUGGUCUGACUUCUCAUCAUACCAUCGUGCCCUGGUGCCACUCUGCCACCUCUCACCCUUUUCUCAUGGGUUCCCCUUCGUUCACUCCUUAGUUCAUGUAGGAUGGUUGUCAGGGUCUCCAUCUGCUUUUCCAUCCGUUCCAUUCGGUCAUGCAUGGCUUUUUCCCGUGCUUCAAUGGCUAUCUCCCUUAACGUCAUGGAUUCGUUAAGCCUCAUAUCACCUCCUUGUGCACUACUUCCUCCUACAUCCAUUGUUUCUUCUCUUGCUUUGUUUUUCCUUUCUCUGUCAACAGAAGUUUUUUUAUCAGCUCCCUACAGACGGCGCCAAAAUGUUGAUGCGAGAUUCUGGUUACCCACUCGACCACGACCAGGAUCUCUGCUCAAUCAACUAACUCGACCACGAUCAGGAUCUCUCCUCGUAUGCUUUCUUCUUCAAAAAUUCCUGCGUACACAGAAACAAGUCAGAGCACGCUGGUUGUUUUCUCGGCGUAAACCCUCCGAUGCUCAAGUCAAAUAUGAAGGUUUUGUGUUCCUGGGAACAUUAGCCACUAGUCUUAAGCUUUGCUUUUAGUAUCGACUGUUGAAUGCUCUCUUUAUCUCAAUUUCUGUAUUAAAAGUUCUAACCCUUUUACCUUCGUUGGCUGCCUUUUUAUAGGCUCCUCCUGAGUCCAGAUCCUCCCCUCCAUUCACGUCCGUUACCUUCCCACCUCUCGAAAGUGGAUGCUCCGUUUCCGUAAUCGUGGGUGGUUGCAUGGCCUUCGUGCCUCGAUUCUCGGGCUGGAGAGUACGUCUUGCCAACUGUCGUUGAUUGGGUCUCCUCGCUUCAAACCUUAGCAGGACCAUUAUGCUUCUAACAGGAGAUCGGCUUCGCGGAUGGUGUAUUCGUGGACGAGCAGAUAUUCCUGCUUCUGUUCCCAUGCUACCAGACCUCAGCUCAUCACGGCUGGUCUCGUCGAAGUACAUCCCCCAAACAAUCUUCAUAUUAAUUACGAAAAUAUCCUCUAAAUUUUAACUUAACUAUUCAUAAUUCAAUGUCAUUCGGAUAUUUCGUUUAUUUGAGUAGGGAUUAGGGGUCAAUUUGAUACAAAUUCAAAAUUAUCCUCAUUUGCGAAGGUGAUAAAAGUUAGGGAUUUAGUUUGGAUGUCACUAGCCACAAAUAUUAAACGCAUGCAUCUAAUUCAAAAUUAGAGGCAUUAUCGUUAUAUUGACAUGUGUCACCAUCCCACAACCUCUCCAAUGAAAAAUUGACAUGCAUCUUGUGUGCUUCUUAUCAAAAUCCUGAAAAUUAAUCACAAAAGUUAUAUUUUUAUUAUAAAAAGAAGAAAGAAACUCCAUGAGUGAAGAAAAAAAAAAAAGACUUACAUUAAUAGUUUGGAUAAUCUAGAUUUCAAGUUGUCUAUAUUAGCUUGAUAUUUUUAUAAAUAUCAAGAUUUCAAGUUGUCUAUAGUAGCUUGAUAUCUUCUAAAAAAAACUCCAUCAACAUAUAUUUUAAUUUUACGUUAAUUAAUAAAUAGAAAAUCCAUUUUAGAAUUAAUUAAAGCAUUAUUUAUUGUUGCCAAAGAAGGAAGUAUUUAGCGAUAAGAAAAAAGUGUCUCAAAUAUAUGUUUAAAAAAAAAUAAUCAUGGUUGGUUGGACUGAUUGAAUUUUUCUUUUCUUUUUUCUUUUUUAAGAACUAAGACAAUUGGAUUGAUUGAGUAAUAAUAAAAUAUAUUUAUUUGGCAAAUGGCAGGUAGGCUUUCUUCUGGUGCAGAUUGAUUAGAGAGAAUAUAUAACAAUUUUAAGCUCGUAAGAUUCGGAACCUGCUUAUCUGUCGUGUGGGAAUCACUUCCGUGUCUUAUUUUUCUAGAAAAAUCUAGACCAUUGGAUUUACCAUUGGGCAGUAGAGAAAUGUUGAUCUUGAUUCCUGAUCAGGAUCGAAGUUUGAUUCUAUCUAACAUGAUAUCAGAUUGCGAAGCAAGCUAGUUGUGAGUAACUUGUUCUAUUUUGAUGGAAGAAACACAAGUUCUAAUAAAAAAUUCUAAGUAUACAUUUUUUUUUUUAAUUUUUUUAUUGUGAUCAAUAUAACUAGUCAAAUCUAUUUUUAAACAUUUUUUUUAAAUAUUUUGUUAACAAUGAUAUGAAAAUAUUCGAACCCCUCCUCAUAUAGUAAAGUGAAUUACUAUCCAACGAUCCAACUAACGUCUUCAAAUUGUAAAUUGCAAAUCGUGUGUUUGCUCCAUUACAGAGUUUCUUCAAUUUAAAAUAGAGAAUCGUUUGUGUUCUAGAUUAAUCGUGGGUCUAUAUCCAAAUCUAAAAAUUGACUAACUUGAUUUCUAUUAAAUUCUUAACCCUAACAAGAAAAAUAGAAGAUUAAAAAUGACUAAUUUGGUUUCUAUUAAUUUGAGUAACGAUUAAUAUUUAUCAUUCAAUAGUCACUUAUAUUAUCAAAAUCUUGGGUCGAAAAUAUUAGGAUAGGUGAUAAUUGGAAUUAAGUUGUAGAUAAGAUAGAAAUGGAUUUGGAGAGAGAUUGGAAUCCUGGGUAAAUCCGGUACACGUUGGUGUGUUAAAUUCUCGUUGACUUCACGUUGACCGAGGCAUUAUUGGAAGAAACAAGCAAGCUUAUUUUCUUCUCUCAUUUUUAACCUUUGUCUAAAUUUAUUGGUGUGAGGCCUUUGAGAUGGUAAAGUGUUAAAUCUGAGAAGAGUACCCACACUAUUACUCUUAUUUUAUCACGUUUUAUCACAAUAUUACUCUUAUAGUCAAUGUUUGAUUCGCACGAAAAAAAAUUUGCGAGGAUUGUGAGGGUUGAUGCAAUAUAAUUUAGAUGCAAAGUGUUUACAAGUGCGAUGCUUCGUAAGUGUACUCGAAUCAUUAUAAACUCACGUUAUUUUCAUAGUGAUUAUUUCAUUUGCACGUGAAUAUAAUCAUAUAUGUGGAGAAUUUUUUUUCCUAAAUUAUGGUCUUAUUUAGUAUUGAGAUGUUAUAUCUUUUAAAUUAUAAUUAAUAUUAGUAAAAAAACUGCAACUAUAAAAUAAAAGUUAAUAUUAUGUCCUGAAUAUAAUUGUUAAAUAAUAAUUUUGACAAAAUUAGUGAAGACAUACAGAUUUUUUUAUCAUAUAAGUGUAAAAUUCUAUCAACUUAGCUUUUAAGUUAUACAGCAUCUAUUGUUUACCAAAUACUUUAGUGUUGUAACUUUUAAGUUAUAACUGUCUAACCUUUAACCUCAAUCUCAAACGAGGCUUAUAAAGAUCAAGGAUUUCCUCAUAAAAAUUAUUACGUCAUGUGAUUGCUUAUUUAAUUUAUAUUUUCGUCAUUUAUCUUUAUUAAUUAAACAUGCACAUAUUAUUUCCUUUUAUUUUCUGCUUGGUAACCCGUAAAUACUAAUCCAGUACUACUAAUUUCAGACAGAAAAUUUUGAACUCUAGGCUGCAGUUUGACUCAAAAUGAUGGUCACUGGCUUCGCACCAUUUUACCGGUAUACAUUUCUACAAACUGAACAAGGCUAUUGAUUAUUAUUAUUAUUAUUUUAAUUUGUUUAUAAAUUACUAUUUUAAUUUUCACUUUUUAUUGGGUUGUUUAACGGAUUGGUGAAGCUGGUGGUCGUUGAUGCACUCACAAGGUACAAUUUUAUUUUAUAAUUUCAAAUUCGUAUUUUAAAACGCAGGUACAUUAUGUAUAUACAUAAUUAUUGAUUUUCGUAUGAGGGUGUUUUGAAAUAUUGCUAAAAGACCAAACUUUAAUAAACUAUUUUUGAUCUUUUUUUUUUUUCCUAAAGUUUGGGUGAUAUGCGCAUUUUAAAUUCACGUGGAACAAAAGUUAAUGUAUGUAUAAAAAUUCUUUUAUUUUACUGAGCAAAAUAGGCAAGCGAAAAAGUUUUGGCAAAUGAGUUGCAACUGAAUUCAAAACCAAUACAAUGCGAGCAUAGGAAAGAGGCCAGUGUUUAGGAUUUGAAUUUAGGUAGCGUUUACUUUUUGGAUUGGAUUGGGAAUCCUGGGGAGUGGGAAUCCUAGGAUUGAGAGUGUGGAGUGGGAGUGGGAGUAGGUUGUUUACUUACACUGGAAUGGAAGCAUGGAAUGGAGAUCAGAAUCCAAUUUAUGUGUUUACUUUGUCUUGGAUUGGGAGUAAAUAGUUUCAAAUUACAAUUUUAUCCUUAUUUAAAGAAUUAUAAUUUUAAUUACAAAACUAAUAAAAUAUAUAUUUAAUGAAUAAUAUUUAUUUUAUUAUAUUUGUAAAUUUAUUAUAAUUAUUAAUAUUCUUAAUUAUGAACAAUAAAUUAUUAAUUGUAAUUUUAAUAUAAAAUGAAAUGUUAUUUUAUUUAAUAUAAUUAUAUUAAAUUUAUUAUUAUAUAAAAUAAUAAUAUAAUAUUAUUUAGUACAAAAUUAAUAUUUUCUUAGAAUAAAGUAUUUAUUAUUAUUAUUAAAUAAAAUAUAGUACUAUUAUUUUUAAAAUAAAUAUAAUAAUAUUAUAUUUAUUAAUUCUCUAUUAAUAUAAUAAUAUUAUUUUAAAAUAAUUUUAACUUAGAAUCAAUGUAAAUUAUUAUUUAGUUAAAUAUAAUAUUAUUAUUUAAAUAAAUAUAAUAUUAUUAUUUAAAUAAAUAUAAUAUUAUUUAUUUUAUUUUAUUAAUUAUAAAACAUAAAAUAAAAAAAAAAAGGGUAGAAAUGGGAGAGGUGGGAGUGGAUUCCCACUCCCACCUCCCCCAAUGGGAGUCCCACUCCCACUCCCCACUCCAAAAAUGGGUGGGGCCCACGGAGUGGGACUCCCAAUUCCUUCUCAUUUUAAGUAAGUAAACGCUGGAGUGGGAGGAAUCCACACUCCUCACUCCCACUCCAGCAAGUAAACACAACAUUAGUAUUAAGCUGAAUUUUAUGGUAAGCUCUUUUAUAGUACUGUGAUUGAUAAGCUCAGCCCCGGAUUUGCUUUUGCUUUUGCUUUUACUUCAAGUGAAAGAGAGAGGAAACCUUUUGUUUUUUUCUUUGGUUUUCAACUAUGUUACCUAUACAAAGAGUCAAGAUACCUGCCAUAAGUGAUGGUGUUAAAAAGAUUAAGCAGCGCACACAAUCUUACUGUCGUCUAGACCAUCCAGUGAUGACUCUAGUCUUUUGGUUACGUUAGCUUUAGUUGAAAGAAGGGCCAAUUUAACAAAGACUAGAUUUGAUGGCUUACUAUGUUUAAUGUAAUGCUAAUUCUCAGGGAAUCUAAUGUUAUAACUUAUAAGACGAUCUCCUAUGAUGAAUAACAGUAACACAUUACUGUGAUUGAGAAAACUCAGUUACAAUAAACUAUUCAUUUACUCAUUGCGGAGAUUGAAUAGCAAAUAGAGAAUAGAAUGAAGCAGAGGAAUCUCAUUGCCAAUAAAAUUGACCCUCUUUAAUGUUAUAUGGCACAGGUGUGGAGGAAGAACAAGUUACUUGCAGUUUUUAUUGUAAAAUAUACAGGUAUGACCAUGAUCAUUACAGUUGGGUUUUGAUAAUUUCAGAUGCUUUUUAAAAAAAAAAAAAAUUAUGACAUCUUUGAUUUACGGUAGUUUUGCAGAAAAAAAAAUAUAAAAAUUAAGAGGGAUGAGUUAAACUGACGAUUACAAUCAUUCCAGCAAUGCUGAUGAGUGAUACAUCACUUGAAAUUUACUUGUCAGUUGCUGAAAUGAUGAAAAAAAAACAAUAAACGAUAACAGUAAUAAUGUUCCGUUGCUGAAAUUCAAUUUUGACUUUCUACUCUUGGCUUUUAUGGAAAGUAAAAUGACUUGUAUAUUAUCCUCAUACAAUCCACUCUACAUAAUGAUAUCAUUUUAAUAAGGCAAUGGCUGAUGAUCUCCAUUUAAAAACUACAUCAUUUUUUUUGCUUCAUUUAACUUUUUGGUUGUUGAAAAUAACCUUAAUUAUCAAAUAAUUGGAGAAAGAGUAAAGAACAUUUAACAAAUUUAUGUGCAAAAAAAAAAAAGGAGAAGUUGAAGAGAAAGGGUGCUUGCAGAAGUGGGUGUCAAAGAUAAAUCGGUCCAUAAGAAUUAUUGUGGUUAUUUUUUUGGCAAUAUAAGAACUUAUGCGAUAGCAUUUUUUAUGGGUGCAUAUAACCUCCCUUUAAAAAUAUAUAUAAUAAUUACUGCUUAAUAUAGUAUUAAAUACAAAAAUAUCAAUAUUUGACUACUUAAAUUUAUAUCAUUAGGUCCUUAAAAUUUAAAAUGGAAGAUAUGAAAGGAAAUAUAUAUAAAUUUCAUUGUCCUGGUAAAGGGCCCUCUUAUAAUCUUAUAAUAUUUGAACUUUGAUAGAUUUUUUGAAACAAAUGUACUUUUAUUUGUGUACAAUCAAUAUUUACUCAUUUAUUAUAUUUUAAUUUAUUAACUAUUAAUCAUGUAAGUAUACUUAGUCAGAAAAAUUAUAUCAAGAGAAAAUUCUAAUUUCACGCAAAAACAAAUACCAAAACAAAUAUCUCAAUUUCUAUACUAUUCACUUUCCUGUAGAAUCAAUUAUUUAAAAUGCAAGUUUGUGGCUACAGAAAACUCGCCAAAGAAAAAAGAUAAUAACAAUUGAGCAUUGAUAGCAAAACUAAUGCAUCCAAUUCUUCUUGACUUGAUGAGAUGGCGCCAUAACGUAGACACAAGUACCUAAAUUGACCGGCACUGAGUGAUGUGAAUACUACCAGCCAGUUCAUCUCUUCCAGUCUUGCUUAAUCACAAUCACAAACACCACGAGAUCGACAUUUGCAUUAUAUAUAUCUUCUGCAAUCGAAACACCUUGCAUUACCAAAUAAGCCCGUAACAGACAAAGCAAUCUUUCAUGGAGAGAAACCUUAGUCUCAGUAUGAUCACUGUGUCAUUAACCUACUGCCUGCUUCUUUGCUUGGUUGCUGCAGCAGCAGCAGCGGCAAGCAACAAUAUUACCACAGACCAACAAGCUCUUCUUGCCCUGAAAGAUCAUAUAAUUUAUGAUCCUACCAGCCUUUUAGCUCACAAUUGGACCUCGAAUACCUCUGUUUGUACCUGGAUUGGCAUCACUUGUGAUGCCAAUAGCCAUAGAGUCAAAACCUUAGAUAUUUCUCAAUUCAAUCUACAAGGCACCAUCCCUCCUCAACUUGGAAAUCUCUCUUCACUCACAACACUUAAUCUUAGUCAUAACAGGCUUUCUGGAAGUGUUCCCUCCUCCAUCUACACCAUGCAUACGCUAAAAUUUCUUGACUUCACUGAUAACCAGCUCUCUGGUUCAGUGUCUUCCUUCGUCUUCAACAUGUCUUCAAUAUUAGUAAUUCGUUUGACCAAUAACAUAUUUUCUGGUGAGCUUCCGAAAAAUAUUUGCAACUAUCUUCCUUAUUUGAAGGCCCUUUUCUUAAACAAAAACAUGUUUCAUGGCAAAAUUCCUUCUGCUUUAUCAAAGUGCAAACAACUGCAACAAUUAAAUUUGCAGUUCAAUAAUUUAUCCGGUGCAAUACCAAAAGAAAUCGGCAACUUGACUAUGCUCAAAGGGAUAUAUCUCCUCUACAACAAACUCCACGGUAUGUUCACAAUACUAUAUAAAUAUUUUAAUUUAUCACUUAUUAUCUUUCUUGAAUAAUUUAGUUAAGAUCUUGUAAGAGAGAUUUUUUGCAUCUACGUUAAUUUACCAGGUGAGAUACCCCACGAAAUCGCUAAUCUUCCAAAUCUAGAGGCUUUAGCGCUUGGAAUCAACAACGUAGUUGGUGUGUUACCAGCUCCCAUCUUCAACAUGUCAACACUGAAGGUACUUAUCCUCAUAAAUAACUCUCUCUCCGGAAGCCUUCCAUCAAGAGUAGACCUUUCACUUCCAACUGUUGAGCAACUUAACUUGGCACUUAAUAGAUUUUCUGGAACCAUUCCUAGUUCCAUCACCAAUGCUUCUAAGCUCACCUUUCUAGAGUUGGGAGCAAACACAUUUUCGGGGUUUAUUCCAAACACAAUUGGUAAUUUAAGAAACCUUAAGUGGCUCGGCUUGGCUAAUAACUCCUUGACAUCUUCAACCUCAAAAUUGAGCUUUCUUUCCUCUUUGGCAAAUUGCAAGAAAUUAAGAUUCGUAAACGUAAUAGGCAAUCCACUGGACGGCUUCCUUCCAAGUUCAAUAGGUAAUCUUUCUGUGUCUUUGGAAACACUUGGCAUCGGCAAUUGCAGUAUUAGUGGCAACAUUCCUCCAGCAAUUAGCAAUUUAAGCAACUUGUUGACCUUAGUAUUAGACGGCAAUAAAUUGACUGGACCAAUCCCAACUACAUUCGGCCAACUGCAGAAACUCCAAGGCUUAGAUCUUGCAUUCAAUAAGUUGGUAGGUUCAUUCCCAGAUGAGCUUUGCCAUCUGGCAAGGCUGGAUCAAUUGGUCUUAUUUGGCAAUAAGCUUUCAGGAUCUAUACCUUCAUGCUUAAGUAACCUCACUUCUCUAAGAUCUCUCUAUUUAGGGUCCAAUAAGUUUACUUCUGUUUUUCCCUCAACCUUCUGGAGCCUAAAAGACAUCUUGUUCUUUGACUUUUCAUCAAAUUUCUUGGUUGGUCCUCUUUCUUUAGAUAUAGGAAAUUUGAAGGUGCUUCUAGGAAUAAGUUUAUCAAAAAAUAAUUUAUCCGGUGAUAUCCCAGCCACAAUUGGAGGACUGAAAGAUCUUCAAUUUAUGGACCUAGCAUAUAAUAGAUUGGAAGGCCCAAUUCCUAAAUCAUUUGGUGACUUGAUAAGUUUAGAAGUUCUGAAUUUAUCAAAUAAUAAAAUCUCUGGGUCUAUUCCAACAUCCAUGGAGAAACUCUUUUACCUCGGAGAGUUAAAUCUCUCUUUCAAUAAACUAGAAGGUGAGAUUCCUAGUGGAGGAACUUUUGCCAACUUCACAGCUGAGUCAUUUAUGGGAAAUGAGUUUUUGUGUGGUUUACCAAAUCUUCAAGUCCAACCAUGCAAAGUUAGCAAGCCGAGGACAGAACAUAAAUCAAGGAAAAAGAUACUUCUCAUUGUGAUUGUUUUGCCAUUGAGUAUUGCUCUAACAAUAGCAAUCACUCUAGCUCUCAAAUCUAAGCCGAUCGAAUGUGGAGAAAGAAGCACAGUGUUGUCAAAUGAUAGUAUCUUGUCAUCACAAGCAACACUAAGAAGAUUUUCAUACUUAGAACUUUUACAAGCAACAGAUAAUUUUGCUGAAAACAGCAUAAUUGGCAGAGGAGGUUUCGGUUCCGUUUAUGGAGCAAGACUUGAAGAUGGGAUGAAGAUUGCAAUAAAAGUGUUUCACCGGCAAUGUGCAAGCGCAUUGAAGAGUUUUGAGGCUGAAUGUGAAGUGUUAAAAAAAAUUCGCCAUCGAAACCUUAUCAAAGUUAUCAGCAGUUGCUCGAACGAUGACUUCAAAGCAUUAGUCCUAGAAUACAUGUCCAACGGGAGCUUAGGGGAUUGGCUGCAUUCGAGCAAUUACGUGCUGAAUAUUUUUCAAAGGUUGAACAUAAUGAUUGACGUUGCAUCAGCUUUAGAAUACCUCCACUUCGAUCAUUCAACUCCUAUUAUUCAUUGUGACUUAAAGCCUAGUAAUGUAUUGUUGGACGAAAAUAUGGUUGCUCAUUUGAGUGAUUUUGGCAUAGCAAAGCUUUUAAGUGGAGAAGAUGAGUCUACGAUGCGAACAAAAACCCUUGCCACUAUAGGUUAUAUGGCACCAGGUUUGCUUCAAACAACUUUUUUUUUUAAGUUCAUUUUAAAUUUUCUAAAUCAUUGAUUUUUACGAUCCUCAUAUCAAAUUGUUAUUGAUUAUUUAUCUAAUUGUGAAAUUAAUUUGAUUCAUAGAGUAUGGCAUAGGAGGAGAAGUAUCUACAAAAAGCGAUGUUUACAGCUACGGGAUUAUGUUGAUGGAAACUUUUACCAAGAAAAAACCCACAGAUGAAAUUUUUGUUGGAGAAUUGAGCUUAAAGCAUUGGGUUAAUGACUUGCUUCCUAAUUCAUUAGUGGAAGUUGUGGACAAAACUCUGCUAAGUGGAGAGGAAAAACAUUUUGCAUCAAAGGGGCAAUGUCUGUUGUCUAUCUUUAGUUUGGCUCUGGAGUGUACAAUGGAAUCACCGGAAAAGAGGAUUAAUGCAAAAGAUAUUGUUACCGGAUUACUCAAGAUAAGAGACACAUUGAGUAAAAGGAUAGGAAAUUUAAGUUAAUUUCGUUUGCUUUCAUUGAUAGUUAAUUCGAAUUCAUGUAAUAAGUGCAAGAAUCUUAUAUCUUUUCCUUUGAUAUAUUCUUUUUCUUGAGAAAACUGUUGUAGUCAUCUUGUUUCCAUGGGAAGAGUUGAUUUAGUUCUUCCAAAAAAUGCUACUGAUGACCUUUGUUUAAUACUUUCUCUUUUUUUGCACGUGUUUAGGUAGAACAGUGGUUUGGCUGCAGGCUAAUAAGUCAAGCUACGCCAAAAGCGUAUGAUUUAAUUUAUUAAACAUAACUUCAAGUUCAAGAAGUGUUUCUCAUUGCCACCAAUGCUUUGGACACCUGUUGGAAGGUUUGUUGUCCUCAGCUUUUGUUUAGAGCAAAAGUUCGAGUCCCAUAAAGGCUCAAACAUUCCUUUCCUUCAUCCCGAGGGCGCCUUCUGUCCUCUGUUUUCUGUUUCCACACACAAAUAGCAAAAAGAAAUUAGAAUGACAACUGGGACAUAUAUAAGAGUGAAAUAAUUAAAAAAAUUAUGCUUUUUUGUCUGUCGUGUUAAAAUCGUAAGUACCGAAGUACUGUGAAAGAGAUUAAUUUACAGAAACUGAAGCCAAGGGUUCAAAAAAAAACUAUUGAUGUAGCUAGGAUGCAAUGUCAUAUUCAUACAGAGAUGAAGUAUAUUAUUUACGGCUGGUAAAGACUAGGAAUUGAUGUAGCUAGAAUCCAAAGAUGAUAAGGUAUGUUGUGCACUAUUGUUUUAUUCUACGGUCAAUCUUGACCCUUGGUGCUUGGCUCUCAAUCUUGUCCAUUGAUCUUCUCUGAUCUUGGAAACUUCAAGACCUUUCACUCUCAUGCCUUAUUAUUGGUGUCUUCCAUGCUGUAGCUUUCAAAUACAAGCUUUCCCGCCAACUUGCCAAUUAUUUGUCCGUUGGUGCAUUUUAUCAAACAGUUUGGAUACUUAUACCAAACGCCUUCUGUUUUAACUCCCCCCCUCAAGCUCAAGCAUCUGGGAAGACAUUAAUAAGCUUGUUUCUCAAGUAUAUAUAUCUGAAAAUUAAAUUUUAUAAAUUAUAUUCGGACUCUACAUUUUCUAAUGAACAUUGGUUUGGCUUAUAAGCUUAUUAUACUCAGGUUUGGUAGGAGCCAUAUCACAAUGUUAACGCUAACCAGCAGUACUGCCAAAGCUGGCCAACUCAGCCUGCAAGUUCAUAGCAACCAUAGUUACAGUCCUAGUCCGGUACAAAAAUCGUAAAUAUCAUUUACAUUACAAUGGUGUGGGGGGGGGGGGGGGGGUUUGUUGGGUGGCUGGAGAGGGAAUCAACAAAGAUCUAGAACGAAGGGUAGGCUUGUAUCCGUAACCCAUGUCACAGUGUUAAUGCUAACCGUGGACCUUAUUAUAUUAGUUGCUGGACUAUUAUUACUUUUGAAUUGCCAUCUUUGAAUUUACGUUCAUUUCUGCCUCGACAAGAUGUUUGUAAAAAUAUGCUAAUUAUUAAUGUGCCGUGUACAAAUAAGCAUGUUACUGUGCAAGGAUUGUAGUCAUGAUACAGUGGUGCAAAAUGUACAUGCUACUUCUUCUUUUCCUCAGUUAGGAUCACCGUCGUCACCAUUUAAUUCUAAGUCCACCCAUGCGGCCUAUGCAAUUGAAAUCAUGUGACCAUGUAAUUUUAGGUUCUGAUCUUCCUUGUGGGGUUAAACCUCAAAACUGUGACCAUUUUGGGACUUUUAAUCAGUUCCAAUCAUUUUCUGGUUCCCAUUCGUCCACCCAAGCCUUGAUUCCCCCGAUAUAGCAUUGCAAUAUAUAUAGGAAUAUUAAGGUUGUGUACAGUUUUUUUCUUUUCUGUUUUUAAUUUGAUAUAAAUUAUCAAUCAUGAAUCUACAUAAAGUUUCAACUAGGCUACUACCACAAUAAACAUUUGGAUGAACUAUUAUUGAAACCUUAUUGAGAAGUAGGACAUGUCGCAUACCAAUGCACUGACAUAUCUUCAAAUAGUGGUAACUCCACACAACAUGGCACAAUAAAUUAAGAGUUAUAUAGAUAAAAUCUUUCACUCUUUGGUAAUCAUCAAUGUCGGCAUGACAAUGCGUCCCACAAAUAUGGCUCCUUAUCAAAAUUCAUAAAUCAAAACAAAAAUAGAGAAUCAUAUUUGUUCUAGAUUGUAGUGAUGGUUGUUGAUGCACUCACAAUUUACAAUUUUAUUUAAUAUCUUCAAAUUCGCAUUUUAAAAUGCCCAAAUGUUUGUGUAUACAUAAUUAGUAAUCGAUUCUCAAGCAUGGCCAUUUAAAAGCAUUGCUGAAAGACAAAAUUUUAAUUUACUAUUUUUUGUCUUUUAAUUUUCUUUAAGUUUUUAAUGAUUCCGCAUUUUAAAAUCCUGUGGAACGUGUAUGUAAAAUUCUUUUAUCUUUUAGAGGAAAAUGGGCAAGAGAAGAAGAUUUGGCAAAGGAAUUGCAACCGCAUUUGGAGCUAGUUUUAAUUUUGUCUUUUAAUUCUUUUACACUUGGCUUUUGUUAUUGAUGUCAACUUCGAUGUGUGUGAAGACUCGAGCUCACUCCCUUAUGAGCUAGUUUUAUUUUUCUACUUUCACAUUAAGAAAAAUACUCCUAUUUUUAAGGAAAAGUCAAGUACCUGUAGUUGUGAAGACUCGAGCUCACUCCCUUAUGAUAAAUCUUCAUAUUAAUUACGUAAAUAUCCUCUAAAAUUUUAAAUUAGCUAUUCAAAAUUUGAUGUUAUACGGGUAUUUCAUUUAUUUGAGUAGGGGUUGGGGGUCAAUUGGAUACAAAUUCAAAAUUAUCCUUACUUGAGAUGGUGAUAAAAAUUGGGGAUUUAAUUUGGAUGUCAUUAGCUACAAAUAUUAAACUCAUACAUUUAAUUCAAAAUUGGAAAGCUGAUAUAUGCGCAUCAUCCCACAACCUCUCCAAUGAAAAAUUAACACGUUUCUUGUGUGCAUUUGAUCAGAAUCCUGAAAAUUAAUCACAAAAUUGUCCUGGAAAAAAAAAUGCUUACAUAAAUGGUUUGAAAAAUCUAGAUUUCAAGUUGUCUAUAUUAGCUUGAUAUUUUUAUAAAUAGUCAUCCUCUCAAAAAAAUUCCAUCAAAAUAUAUUUUAAUUUUAUGUUAAUUCAUAAACAUGAAAAAAUCAUUUCAGAAUUAAUUAAAACAUAAUUUAUUGUUUCUCAAAAAAGGUAGAACUUAGUGAUAAGAAAAAAGUAUCUCAAAUAUAUGUAAAAAAAAAAAAAUCUUGGUUAGUUGGAAUGAUUGAAUUUGUUUUUUUUUUCUUUUUUAAGAAUUAAGACAAUCGGAUUGAUUGAGUAAUAAUAAUAUAUAUUUAUUUGGCAAAUGGCAGGUAGGCUUUCGUCUCAUGCAGAUUGAUUAGAGAGAAAAUAUAACAAUUUUAAGCUCGUCAGAUUCGAAGCUGCUUUCCUGUCGUGUGGGGAUCACUUCCGUGUCUUAUUUUUCUAGAAAAAUCAGGACCAUUGGAUUUAUGCGAAUCGUACUGAACAUUGGAAUUGAUGUAUAAGAAAAAAAUUCUGUAGUUUAAGAAGAACAAAAAGGCAUGUUGAAUAGAUUACAAUAGUUUAAGGAAAAAAAUUAUUCAAUUGGGAAUUUUUUUUUCUUUAAUUUUUGUUGUACUUGAUUGAGAUUUCUCCUUAGUCCUUAGAGUUUUAAGUUUGGAAACCGUAGGAUCAGUAAUUUCGUACUUCCUUUGCAAGCUGAGUAUAAGGAUGAAAUUCUUUUAAGAAAUUAAAAAAGAUAAAAAAAAAGCAUACCAAUAGGUAAUUAUAAAUAACCACAAAUAAAUAUAAACAAAAUGUUUAUGAAGUAAAUUAAACAUGCUCAUAUUAUUUUCUUUUAUUUUCUGCUUGGAAACCCAUAAAUACACUAAUCCAGUAUUACUAAUUUCAGACAGAAAAUUUUGAAUUUAACCAGUAUACACUAAUCCAGUAUUAUUUUUAUUAUUAUUUUAAUUUGUUUAUAAAUUACUAUUUUAAUUUGUUUAUAAAUUACUAUUUUAAUUUUCACUUUUUAUUGGGUUGUUUAACGGAUUAGUGAAGCUGGUGGUCGUUGAUGCACUCACAAGGUACAAUUUUAUUUUAGAAUUUCAAAUUCGUAAUUUAAAAUGCAGGCACAUUAUGUAUACAUAAUUAUUGAUUUUCAUAUGUGGGUGUUUUGAAAUAUUGCCAAAAGACCAAACUUUAAUAAACUAUUUUUGAUCUUUUUUUUUCCUUUGUACCUAAAGUUUGAGUGAUAUCCGCAUUUUAAAUUCAUGUGGACCAAAAGCUAAUGUAUGCACAAAAUUCUUUUAAUUUUUUCCGAGAAAAAUGGGUAAGAGAAGAAGAUUUUUCUCUUGAAAAAGAAAAAAUAAUACGUUGCAAGCAUAGGAAAGAGGCCAGUGUUUUGGAUUUGAAUUUAGUAUUGGGUUGAAUUUUAUGCUAAGCUCUUUUAUAAUACUUUAUAGAAUAAAAAUGUAAGGGAUAUUUGGCUAGGCAUGUACUUUAUAGAAUAAAAAUGUAAUAAUGUAAGUCAGUGCAAUGAUCUGCUGUCAUAGUAGUUAUAAAUAUUUAUGUGUAAUACAGUAACAUGAUGCUUAAUCAGUUAAAAAAAAAUUGUAUAUCUUUUUUUAUUUUUUUUAUUGUGAUCAAUAUAACUAGUCAAAUUUAUUUUUAAAUAUUUUUUUAAAAAUAUUUUUAUCGUGUGUUUGCUCCAUUACAGGGUUUCUUCAAUUUAAAAUAGAGAAUCAUUUGUGUUCUAGAUUAAUCGUGGGUCUAUAUCCAAAUCCAAAAAUUGACUAACUUGAUUUCUAUUAAGUUCUCAACCCUAACAAGAAAAAUAAAAGAGUAAAAAUGACUAUUUUGGUUUCUAUUAAUUUGAGUAACGCUUAAUAUUUAUCAUACAAUAGUCACUUAUAUUAUCAAAAUCUUGGGUCGAAAAUAUUAGGAUAGGUGAUAAUUGGAAUUAAGUUGUAGAUAAGAUAGCCUUUCAAAAAAAAGAAAAGAAAAAAAGUUGUAGAUAAGAUAGAAAUGGAUUUGGAGAGAGAUUGGAAUCCUGGCUAAUCCGGUGCACGUUGUUGCGUUAAAUUCUCGUUGACUUCACGUUGACCGAAGCAUUAUUGGAAGAAACAAGCAAGCUUAUUUUCUUCUCUCAUUUUUUACUUUUGUCUAAAUUUAUUGAUGUGAGCCCUCUGAGAUGGUAAAGUGUUAAAUCUGAGAAGAGUACCCACACACCCAUUUGUUGGAGGAUUAACAAUUAAAACACACUAUUUUAUUUCUUCAACAACACUCCUCACCAAUUACAACUCUUAUUUUUCACUCUCUACACCUUAGAGAUUUUGCUGCUUCACUUGAUGUUUAAACCAAAAGGGAGAGGGGGUAUUUAUAUAUGAAACAAACUAAUCACAACCAUUCAUUUAUUCAACUAAUAAACACAUCCUCACCAUCCAUUAAAACCUACCACUCACCUACUUCACCAACCACACCUAACACACCUAACACAAAUAAUUCAAACCUCACCAACCAUACCUACUCAUGGAACCUUCCAUGAGUUGGGCUUGAUUUAUUCAUCUUGGAUCAAGUUUAUGAUCCAACACCUCUCCUUAAACUUGAUCCUGUGACACCAAGCAAACUUCUGAAUCUUACAAAGUCUUCUUGUUUGAGUGGUUUAGUGAAGAUAUCAGCUGCUUGAUCUUGUGAUUUUACAUACUUGAUUUGCACUUCUUUUCUUGCAAUACACUCUCUUAUGAAAUGAUAGCGAGUGGCUAUGUGUUUACUUCGAUCAUGAAAGACUGGAUUCUUGGAUAGGGCAAUUGCUGAUUUGUUAUCAACACAAAUCUCAGUUGGCUCUUCUUGUGCCAAACUCAACUCCUUUAGCAAAUUUCUGAGCCAAAUUGCAUGACAAACACUUGAUGUGGCAGCUACAUAUUCAGCUUCACAGGUGGAUAGCGUGACAAUUGGUUGCUUCUUUGACAUCCAUGUGAAAGCAGUAUCUCCUAUGAAGAACACAAAUCCUGUGGUGUUAUUUCGAUCAUCUACAUCUCCACCCCAAUCGCUAUCGCUAUAUCCAACAAGCUUGUAGUCAUUAGAAAAUGAGUAUAGCAAGCCGAAAUUAGUUGUACCUUUGAUGUAGCGAAGGAUUCUUUUUGCAGCUUUAAAAUGGGUGGUCUUUGGAUUCUCCAUGUAUCGGCUCACAAGUCCAACAACAUAAAGGAUAUCUGGUCUUGUGCAUGUCAAAUAACGUAGGCUUCCAACCAAACUUUUAAAGAAUGUUGGAUCUAUAUCUUCGCCUUCAUCAUGUUUGGAUAACUUGACUCCGCAUUCCACUGGCGUGCUUAUAGGCUUACAAUCAUUCAUCUUGAACUUCUUGAGAAUCUCCUCUGCAUAGCUUUCUUGGGAGAUAAAUAUGCUUUCUUCCUUUUGCUUGACUUCAAUGCCGAGGUAAUAUGCCAUCAGUCCGAUGUCAGUCAUCUCGAACUCUUUGAUCAUCACUCUCUUGAACUCUUCAAACAAGCCUGGAUUACUUCCAGUGAAAAUGAGAUCAUCCACAUACAGGCACACAAUCAAAAUAUCUCCAUAUUUUUCUUUGACGUAGAGAGCAUGUUCAUAUGGGCAUUUGGUGAAGCCUUUCUCUUGAAAAUACUUGUCAAUUCUGCUAUUCCAUGCCCUUGGUGCUUGCUUUAACCCAUAAAGAGCUUUCUUCAAUCUCAAAACUUUGUCCUCGUGUCCUUUCACCACAUAGCCUAAUGGUUGUUCGAUGUAAACUUCUUCUUCAAGGAAUCCAUUCAAGAAAGCAGACUUCACAUCCAUUUGAAAAAUCUUCCAUUUGUUCUGAGCAGCCAAAGAAAUAAUAAGUCUAAUAGUUUUAAGUCGAGCUACAGGAGCAAAUACCUCGUCAUAGUCUAUGCCAGCCUUUUGACUAUAGCCUUUUGCAACUAGCCUCGCCUUGUGCCUUUCAAUUUCUCCCUUCGCAUUUCUUUUUGUUUUAUACACCCAUUUGACACCGAUCGCCUUGUGACCUUUUGGAAGAGUAGUAAGCUCCCAAGUAUCAUUCUUCACAAUGGCUUUGAUUUCUUCAUCCAUUGCAAUUCUCCACUUCUCAUCUAGUGCAGCUUCUUGGAAGUUGACUGGCUCACAAUCAGCAAAGAGGCAAAAGAGAGUGAGAUUAUCAUGUCUCUCAGUUACCUCAUAGAGAUCUUGAAGACUCCUUGCACGUUCUUCGGUUCUUUCAUUUAAGAAAGACGGCGGUGAAUCUCCGCAUGUGGUUGGUGCUGGUGAGAUAGGUGGAGUGGCAGGCUCUUGUUGUUCGUCUACUUGUUUUACCUGUGUAUGAUCAUCUUCUUCAAUGGGAAAGAAGUUGAAGUCAUCCACACCAGAGCCAAAAUCUCAUUCUCCUUCUUCAUCAAAAAUUACAUCUCGACUGAUCACAAUCUUUCCGUUGUUUGGAUUGUAAAGCUUGUAUCCUUUGGAGUUGUUGUCGUAGCCGAUGAAGAUGAACAACUCACUUUUGUCAUCCAGCUUGGCUCUACUUUCGUCUGGUACAUGUACAUGGGCAAUGCUUCCGAAAACUCUUAGAUGGGUGAUGCCAGGUUUUCUUCCACUCCAAGCUUCUUGUGGCGUCUUGCCCCACACGCUUCUUGUUGGAGAUCGAUUGGAUAAGUAGAUUGCACAUGCAACUGCUUCAGCCCAAAAUUCUUUAGGUAGCCUCUUACUCUUAAGCAUGCUUCUUGCCAUGUCGAGGAUGGUUCUGUUCUUCCUUUCUGCAACACCAUUUUGUUGGGGGGAUCUUGGAACUGUCAAAGGGCGUCGAAUUCCAUUUGCUUCACAAAACUCUAAAAAUUCUUUGGAAGUGAACUCUCCACCUCGAUCAGAUCUCAUGGCUUUAAUCUGGUAUCCACUUUCUUUUUCAACUGCAGCUUUAAACUUCUUGAAAGCUUCAAAGACUUCUGAUUUUUGCUUCAAAAAAUACACCCAAGUUUUUCUUGAAAAAUCAUCUAUAAAAAGAAUGAAGUAGUUACUUUUACCAAGGGAGUUUGGCUUGAAUGGACCGCACACAUCAGUAUGAAUGAGCUCGAGUGGCUUCUGAGCUCUUGAGUUUGACUCCUUUGGAAAGCUCUUUCUGAACUGCUUGCCAAGUAAACAUCCUUCACAAAGUUGAUCAGGGUGAUUGAUGUAUGGUAAGCCUUUCACCAUGUUCUUCUUAGAGAGUAGCUCCAGUCCUCUAAAGUUGAGAUGCUCAUAUCGAAGAUGCCAAGUCCAGGAUUGAUCUUUGUGACAGGCUUUGAGACAUUUUGCAACAUCAUUUUGAAUAUUUAAAGGAAACAUUCUAUUCUUUGACAUUCUCACUUUUGUAUUUAGAUUUCCUUUUUCAUCUCUUAGAAAAAGACUAUAAUCUUUUAAGUGAAUAUCAUAGCCCUUUUUCUAAAAGUUGACCUAAACUAAGAAUGUUGCUUUUCAUAUUGGACACAUAGUAAACAUUCGAAAUUAUUUGGUGGCUACCAUCUUUUGCACGAAAAAGAAUGUUACCUCUACCCUUCACUGGUACUUUUGAAUCAUCUCCAAAAGUGACACUGCCAUUCACAAAUUCACUUAGUUGCACGAACAUGCUUCUGUUUCCACUCAUAUGAUUGCUAGCACCUGUGUCAAGAUACCAUGUAUUUUCUUGACCUCCAUUUGUGUCAUUGCGUGCUAGUAAAAGUGUGUCAUCUUCACCAUUUUUCUCUUCAGCAUAGUUCACUCUCUCUUUAAUUCUGGUGCUUGGAGCUCUGCAUUCUGAAGCAUAAUGCCCAAACUUUUGACAAUUAUAGCACUGUACUUGGGAUUUGUCAUACCUCGAUCUUGAAUUGCCUCUGCCUUGUUCUCUGGUUGAGCUUUCUCCUUUGGCAUAAUUGGAGUUGUUGUUGUUGAAAUUCCAACCUCGUCCAUGACCACGACCUCUACCUCGUCCUCGACCUCUACCUCGGACAUAGUGCCUUCUCUCAUUGUCGGAGCUUUCUUCUCUUUUCUUUGGAUUGACUUCCAUCUUGAGAAGUUGUUCUUCGAUUCCUUGCUUCUUUUUUUGUUUUUCUUCAUAGGCUUGCAACCUUCCUUGAAGUUGCUCGAUCGUCAUAUCCUCCAGAUCUCUUGUUUCUUCAAUUGUCAUAACAAUAUGAUCAAACUUCGAGUCUACUGAUCGAAGUAUCUUUUCAAUGAUCCUUACCUCUUUUAACUCCUCGCCAUUUCUUUUUAAUUCAUUGGAAACGGUCACAACUCGAGUAAAGUAGUCAGAAAUUGACUCCGACACCUUCAUGUGUAAGGACUCAAAUUCUCCUCGUAAUGUUUGGAGACGAACCUUCUUAACUUGCUCUGCUCCUUUGUAAGAGGUCUUUAGUUUCUCCCAUGCUUCUUUUGAGGAGGUUGUACCAGCAAUCUUUUCAAAAGCAUCUUCAUCUAAUGAUUGAAAGAUGAGAUACUUUGCUUUAUUCUCUUUCUUCUUCAAGUCUUUUAAAUUCUCCUUCUGCGCCGCAGUUAAAGUGGCUUCAUUUUCUGGCACAAUAAAGCCUUUCUCCACGACAUCCCAUACGUCAUGUGCACUCAAUAGAGCCUUCAUUUUAAUACUCCAAUUGUCAAACUUACUUCCUUUUAAUUGUGGAACUUGAAAUGACAUCAUCAUACCACCGUUUGCCAUAACUCACAAAUUGAGUGAGAAUUUGGAGAUUCUGAAUGCACAGAUGGAUCCGGCACGUCGAAAAACCUUGGGAAGGACUCGAGUCAACUUUCGGUCAACGGUCAACGUCGGUCAACGGUCAACACCGGCUUGGUAGUCUCGGUUCGGUCCGGAUUGGUUCAGCUCGAGUUGGCUCGGUUCGACUUGAUUCGGUUCAGCUCGGCUCGGCUUGGUUCAGUUCGGCUCAGCUUGGUUCAACUCGGUGAGUCGACUCAGCUUCAGGACAUAAAACUUCCGGCGGCAGGUGUGGGCGCGUACGGUCUCGGAUCGGGAUGAUUUUUGCGGCGUCACGUUCCUCUCGUCGAGAUCUUCGAUUUGAUAUGCUAUAUGACUAUAUAUAGCAUCAAACACUAGCUCUGAUACCACUUUGUUGGAGGAUUAACAAUUAAAACACACAAAAAACACACUAUUUUAUUUCUUCAACAACACUCCUCACCAAUUACAACUCUUAUUUUUCACUCUCUACACCUUAGAGAUUUUGCUGCUUCACUUGAUGUUUAAACCAAAGGGGAGAGGGGGUAUUUAUACAUGAAACAAACUAAUCACAACCAUUAAUUUAUUCAACUAAUAAACACAUCCUCACCAUCCAUUAAAACCUACUACUCACCUACUUCACCAACCACACCUAACACACCUAACACAAAUAAUUCAAACCUCACCAACCAUACCUACUCAUGGAACCUUCCAUGAGUUGGGCUUGAUUUAUUCAUCUUGGAUCAAGUUUAUGAUCCAACACCAUUAUCCUAUUACUCUUAUUUUAUCACAUGCAGAGACGUCAACGUUUGAUUCGCACGGAAAAAAAUUUGCGAGGAUUGUGAGGGUUGAUUCAAUAUAAUUUAGAUGCAAAGUGUUUACAAGUGCGAUGCUUCGUAAGUGCACCCGAAUCAUUAUAAACUCACCUUAUUUUCAUAGUGAUUAUUUCAUCUGCAUGUGAAUAUAAUCAUAUGUGGAGAUUUUUUUUUUCCCUAAACGAUGAUCUUCUCUAGUAUUGAGGUGUUAUAUCUUUUAAAUUAUAAUUAUUAUUAGUAAAAAACUGCAACUAUGAAAAAUAAAUUUAAUAUUAUGUCCUGAAUAUAAUUGUUAAAUAAUAAUUUUGACAAAAUUAAUGAAUAUAUACAGAUUUUUUUAUCAUAUAAAUGUAAAAUUAUAUCAACUUAGCUUCUAAGCUAUACAACGGUUACUAUUUACUAAAUACUUUAGUGUCGUAGUUUUUAAGAUAUAUUUAUCCACCCUCAAUCCCAAACAUAACCUGUAAGGAUAAAAAAUUUCAUCCUAAAAAUUAUACGUCUUGUGACUUAUUUAAUUUAUAUUUUUGUUAUUUAUAUUUAUUAAUUAUAGUCAUCUUUUAAUAAAUUACAAUUGAAGGAAGGUGGUUGAUGUUGUCGAGACACACACACAAAGAUAUAUUGGAAGUGCUUAUGUCCACUCGAAGUUGUGGGGAGUUAAUGCAUGUAUUGAUUUAUUGGGAGUGUUAAUGCAUGUAUUGAUUGAUUGAGUGAUUGAAUACUGUUUGAUUGCUUCAUAUCAAUUCUAGAAAGUUUAUUUCUUUGUGAAAUUUCAACGAAACGUGUUUUUUAGAAUAAUAAGGGUGUUUUAAGUAAUUUUAAAAAAUGAAUGGACUAAUUAGAAUUAAUUAUUAGGUAAUUAACUCGAAUUGUAGAGGGUAAGCAAACAUUUAUCCUAAUUAUAUUAUGAUAAAUCCUUUUCCAAUUAGAAUUAGGAAACCAUAGAUAUACUGAAUUUUUUUUUAUUUCCCUUCGCGAAAACGGAUCAGAGAAUUAGAAAACAAUCCUAGUGAUACUAUUGUUAGGUUUAAAACACUGCAUAGAUGGUAAAAACAUUGGAAUUGAUGUAGAUUAAUUUGUUAAUUGCUAUCGUACUGAACAUUGUUUUAUGCAAAUUAAUUUGAGAAUUAGAAAAAAGUUUGUUGCAUGCAAACUUUUUGUUUUAUGCAAAUCGUACUGAACAUUGGGACUGAUGUUUAAGAAAAAAAUUCUGUAGUUAAAGAAAAACAAAAAGGCAUGUUGAAUAGAUUACGAUAGUUUAUUCAAUUGGGAAUUUUUUUUCUUUAAUUUUUGUUGUACUUGAUUGAGAUUUCUCUUUAGUCCUUUCGUACUUCCUUUGUAAGCUGAGUAUAAGGAUGAAAUUCUUUUAAGAAAUUAAAAAAGAAAAAAAAGCAUGCCACUACGCAAUUAUAAAUAACCACAAAUAAAUAUAAACAAAAUGUUUAUGAAGUAAAUUAAACAUGCACAUAUUAUUUUCUUUUAUUUGCUGCUUGGAAACCCAUAAAUGCACUAAUCCAAUAUUACAAUUAAUUUCAAACAGAAAAAAUUGAACUCUAGGCUGCAGUUUGACUCAAAAUGAUGACCACUGGCUUCGCACCAUUCAACCGGUAUACAUUUCUACAAACCGAACAACGCUAUUGAUUUUUAUUUUUUUUUUUAAUUUGUCUAUAAAUUACUAUUUUAAUUUUCACUUUUUAUUGGGUUGUUUAACGGAUUAGUGAAGCUGGUGGUCGUUGAUGCACUCAUAAGGUACAAUUUUAUUUUAGAAUUUCAAAUUCGUAUUUUAAAAUGCAGGCACAUUAUGUAUACAUAAUUAUUGAUUUUCAUAUGUGGGUGUUUUGAAAUAUUGCCAAAAGACCAAACUUUAAUAAACUAUUUUUGAUUUUUUUUUUCCUUUUUACCUAAAGUUGGAGUGAUAUCCGCAUUUUAAAUUCAUGUGGAACAAAGCUAAUGUAAGCACAAAAUUCUUUUAUUUUUUCCGAGAAAAAUGGGUAAGAGAAGAAGAUUUUUCUCUUGAAAAAUGAAAAAAAAUACAAUGCAAGCAUAGGAAAGAGGUCAGUGUUUUGGAUUUGAAUUUAGUAUUGAGCUGAAUUUUAUGCUAAGCUCUUUUAUAGUACUGCGAUUAAUAAGCUAGCUCAGGAUUUGCUUUUGCUUUUACUUCAAGUAAAAGAAAGAGGAAGCCUUUUGUUUUUUUGUUUGAUUUUUGACUAUAUAUGUUACCUAUAUAGAGAGUUGAGGUAGCAGCCUUAAGUGAUGGUGAUAAAAAGAUUAAGCAGUGCACACAAUCUUACUGUCAUCCAGACCAUCCAGUGAUGGCUCUAGUUUUUUUGUUACGUUAGCUUUAGUGGAAAGAAGGGCCAAUUUAACAAAGACUAGAUUUGGUGGCUUACUAUGUUUAAUGUAAUGCUUAUUCUCAGCGCACACAAUCUUACUAUGUUUAAUGUAAUGGUUAUGUUGAAUGAUCUUCUAUGAUUGUGAGUAGUAUAGUAUAAUUGAAAAGGGCCUGGGCUCCUAUGAUGAAUAACAGUAACACAUUACUGUGAUUGAGAAAACUCAGUUCCAAUAAACUCUUCAUUUACUCAUUGCGGAGAUCGAAUGGCAAACAGAGAAUAGAAUGAAGCAGAAGAAUCUCAUUGUUAGGUUUUGAUGAUUUCAGAUGCUUUUUUUUUAAAAAAAAAUUGUGACAUCUUUGAUUUACGGCAGUUUUGCAGAAAAAAAAAACAUAUAAAAAUUAAGAGGGAUGAGUUAACUGACGAUUACAAUCAUUACAGCAAUGCUGAUGAGUGAUAUAUCACUUGAAAUUUACUUGUCAGUUGCUGAAAUGAUGAAAAAAAACCAACAAACGAUAACAGUAAUAAUGUUCCCUUGCUGAAAUUCAAUUUUGACUUUCGACUCUUGGCUUUUAUGGAGAGUAAAAUGACUUGUAUAUUAUACUCAUACAAUCCACUCUACAUAAUGAUAUCGUUUUAAUAAGGCAAUGGCUGAUGAUCUCCAUUUAAAAACUACAUCAAUUUUUUUGCUUCAUUUAACUUUUUGGUUGUUGAAAAUAACCUUAAUUAUCAAAUAAUUGGAGAAAGAGUUAAGAACAUUUAACAAAUUUAUGUGCAAAAAAAAAAAAAAAAGGAAGAAGUUGAAGAGAAAGGGUGCUUGCAGAAGUGGGUGUCAAAGAUAAAUCGGUCCAUAAGAAUUAUUGUGGUUAUUUUUUGGCAAUAUAAAAAUUUUUUAGCAAGUAAAAAUAAUUUUUUUUCCGAUUUACUAAAAAAUUAACUAAAAACUUCUGCGAUGUCAUUUUUUAUGGGUGCAUAUACCCUCCCUUUAAAAAAUUUAUAAUAAUUACUGCUUAAUAUAGUAUUAAAUACGAAAAAUAUCAAUAUUUGACUACUCAAAUUUAUAUCAUUAGGUCCUUAAAAUUUAAAAUGGAAGAUAUGAAAGGAAAUAUAUAUAAAUUUCAUUGUCCUGGGAAAGGACCCUCUUAUUAUCUUAUAAUAUUUGAAAUUUGAUAGAUUUUUUGAAACAAAUGUACUUUUAUUUGUGUACAAUCAAUAUUUACUCAUUUAUUAUAUUUUAAUUUAUUAACUAUCAAUCAUGUAAGUAUACUUAGUCAAAAAAAUUAUAUCAAGAGAGAAUUCUAAUUUCACGCAAAAACAAAUACCAAAACAAAUAUCUCAAUUUCUAUACUAUUCACUUUCCUGUAGAAUCAAUUAUUUAAAAUGCAAGUUUGUGGCUACAGAAAACUCGCCAAAGAAAGAAGAUAAUAACAAUUGAGCAUUGAUGGCAAAACUAAUGCAUCCAAUUCUUCUUGACUUGAUGAGAUGGCGCCAUAACGUAGAAACAAGUACCUAAAUUGACCGGCACUGAGUGGUGUGAAUACUACCAGCCAGUUCAUCUCUUCCAGUCUUGCUUAAUCACAAUCACAAACACCACGAGAUCGACAUUUGCAUUAUAUAUAUCUUCUGCAAUCGAAACACCUUGCAUUACCAAAUAAGCCCGUAACAGACAAAGCAAUCUUUCAUGGAGAGAAACCUUAGUCUCAGUAUGAUCACUGUGUCAUUAACGUACUGCCUGCUUCUUUGCUUGGUUGCUGCAGCAGCAGCAGCGGCAAGCAACAAUAUUACCACAGACCAACAAGCUCUUCUUGCCCUGAAAGAUCAUAUAAUUUAUGAUCCGACCAGCCUUUUAGCUCACAAUUGGACCUCGAAUACCUCUGUUUGUACCUGGAUUGGCAUCACUUGUGAUGCCAAUAGCCAUAGAGUCACAACCUUAGAUAUUUCUCAAUUCAAUCUACAAGGCACCAUCCCUCCUCAACUUGGGAACCUCUCUUCACUCACAACACUUAAUCUUAGUCAUAACAAGCUUUCUGGAAACGUUCCCUCCUCCAUCUACACCAUGCAUACGCUAGAAUUUCUUGACUUCACUGAUAACCAGCUCUCUGGUUCAGUGACUUCCUUCGUCUUGAACAUGUCUUCAAUAUUAGACAUUCGUUUGACCAAUAACAGACUUUCUGGUGAGCUUCCGAAAAAUAUUUAGAGCUAUCUUCCUCAUUUGAAAGCCCUUUUUUUGGACAAAAACAUGUUUCAUAGCAAACUUCCUUCUGCUUUAUCAAAGUGCAAACAACUGCAACAAUUAAAUUUGAAGUUCAAUAAUUUAUCCGGUGCAAUACCAAAAGAAAUCGGCAACUUGACUAUGCUCAAAGGGAUAGACCUCGGCUACAACAAACUCCACGGUAUGUUCAUAAUACUAUACAAAUAUUAUCUUUCUUGAAUACUUUAGAUAAGAUCUUGUAUGUGAGAUUUUUUUGCAUCUAUAUUAAUUUUCCAGGUGAGAUACCGCACGAAAUCGCUAAUCUUCCAAAUCUAGAGGCUUUAGCGCUUGGAAUGAACAACCUAGUUGGUGUGUUACCAGCUCCAAUCUUCAACAUGUCAACACUGAAUGUACUUAUCCUCAUAAAUAACUCUCUCUCCGGUAGUCUUCCAUCAAGAAUGGACCUUUCACUUCCAACUAUUGAGCAUCUUAACUUUGCACUUAAUAGAUUUUCUGGAACAAUUCCUAGUUCCAUAACCAAUGCUUCUAAGCUCACAUUUCUAGAGUUGGGAGGAAACACAUUUUCGGGCUUUAUUCCAAACACAAUUGGUAAUUUAAGAAACCUUGAGUUGUUCGGCUUGGUUUUUAACUACUUGACAUCUUCGAGCUCAAAAUUGAGCUUUCUUUCCUCUUUGGCAAAUUGCAAGAAAUUAAGAGUCAUAGGCUUAACAGGCAAUCCACUCAACGGCAUCCUUCCAAGUUCAGUAGGUAAUCUUUCUAUGUCUUUGAAAACACUUCACAUCGCCAAUUGCAGUAUUAGUGGCAACAUUCCUCCAGCAAUUAGCAAUUUAAGCAACUUGUUGGCCUUAGUAUUAGAAGGCAAUAAAUUGACUGGACCAAUCCCAACUACAUUCGGCCAACUACAGAAACUCCAAGGCUUAGAUCUCGCAUUCAAUAAGUUGGUAGGUUCAUUCCCAGAUGAGCUUUGCCAUCUAGCUAGGCUGGAUGAAUUGGUCUUAUUUGGCAAUAAGCUUUCAGGAUCUAUACCUUCAUGCUUAAGUAACCUCACUUCUCUGAGAUCUCUCCACUUAGGGUCCAAUAGGUUUACUUAUGUCAUUCCCUCAACUUUCUGGAGCCUAAAAGACAUCUUGUUCUUUGACUUUUCAUCAAAUUUCUUGGUUGGUCCUCUUUCUUUAGACAUAGGAAAUUUGAAGGUGCUUCUAGGAAUAAAUUUAUCAGAAAAUAACUUAUCGGGUGAUAUGCCAGCCACAAUUGGAGGACUAAAAAACCUUCAAAUUAUGGACCUAACAUAUAAUAGACUGGAAGGGCAAAUUCCUGAAUCAUUUGGUGACUUGACAAGUUUGGAGGUUUUGAAUUUGUCAAAUAAUAAAAUCUCUGGGUCUAUUCCAAAAUCCAUGGAGAAACUCUUUUACCUUCGAGAGUUAAAUCUCUCUUUCAAUGAACUAGAAGGUGAGAUUCCUAGUGGAGAAAUUUUUACCAACUUCACAGUUGAGUCAUUUAUGGGAAAUGAGUUAUUGUGUGGUUUACCAAAUCUUCAAGUCCAACCAUGCAAACUUAGCAAGCCAAGGACAGAACAUAAAUCAAGGAAAAAGAUACUUCUCAUUGUGAUUGUUUUGCCAUUGAGUAUUGCUCUAACAAUAGCAAUCACUCUACCUCUCAAAUCUAAGCUGACCAAAUGUGGAAAAAGAUGCACAGUGUUGUCAAAUGAUAGUGUCUUGUCAUCACAAGCAACACUAAGAAGAUUUUCAUACUUAGAACUUUUACAAGCAACAGAUAAUUUUGCUGAAAACAACGUAAUUGGCAUAGGUGGUUUUGGUUCUGUUUAUAGAGCAAGACUUGAAGAUGGGAUGAAGAUUGCAAUAAAAGUGUUUCACCAGCAAUGUGCAAGCGCAUUGAAGAGUUUUGAGGCUGAAUGUGAAGUGUUAAAAAAUAUUCGCCAUCGAAAUCUUAUCAAAGUUAUCAGCAGUUAUUCAAACAAUGACUUCAAAGCAUUAGUCCUAGAAUACAUGUCCAACAGGAGCUUGGGGGAUUGGUUGCAUUCCAGCAAUUAUAUGCUGAAUAUAUUUCAAAGGUUGAACAUAAUGAUUGACGUUGCAUCAGCUUUGGAAUAUCUCCACUUCGAUCAUUUACCUCCUAUUAUUCAUUGUGACUUAAAGCCUAGUAAUGUAUUGUUGGAUGAAAAUAUGGUUGCUCAUUUGAGUGAUUUUGGCAUAGCAAAGCUUUUAAUUGGGGAGGAUGUGUAUGUCAUGCGAACAAAAACCCUUGCCACUAUAGGUUACAUCGCACCAGGUUUGCUUCAAACAACUUUUUUUUAGUUCAUUUUAAAUUUUCUAAAUCAUUGAUUUUUACGAUCCUCAUAUCAAAUUGUUAUUGAUUAUUUAUCUAAUUGUGAAAUUAAUUUGAUUCAUAGAGUAUGGCAUAGAAGGAGAAAUAUCUACAAAAAGUGAUGUUUACAGCUAUGGGAUUAUGUCGAUGGAAACUUUUACCAAGAAAAAACCCACAGAUGAAAUUUUUGUUGGAGAAUUGAGCUUAAAGCGUUGGGUUGAUGACUUGCUUCCUGAUUCAUUAGUGGAAGUUGUGGACAAAACUCUAGUAAGUGGAGAGGAAAAACAUUUUGCCGCAAAGGAGCAAUGUCUGUUGUCUAUCUUUAGUUUGGCUCUGGAGUGUACAAUGGAAUCACUGAAAAAGAGGAUCAAUGCAAAAGAUAUUGUUACCAGAUUACUCAAGAUAAGAGACACAUUGAGUAAAAGGAUAGGAAAUUUAAGUUAAUAUCGUUUGCUUUCAUUGAUAGUUAUUUUGAAUUCAUGUAAUAAGUGUACGAACCUUAUAUCUUUUCCUUUGAUAUUUUUUUCCUUGAGAAAACUAUUGUAGUCAUCUUAUUUCCAUGGGCAGAGUUGAUUUAGUUCUUCCAAGAAAUGCUACUGAUGACCUUUGUUUUAUACUUUCUCUUUUUUUGCAUGUGUUUAGGUAGAACAGUGGUUUGGCUGCAGGCUAAGAAGACUAACUACACUAAAAGAAUAUGAUUUAAUUUAUUAAACAAAACUUCAAGAAAAGUAUUUCACUGCCCCCAAUGCUUUGGACACCUACUGGUGGGUUUGUACGUGUCCUCAACUUUUUUUUGGAGCACAAAAUUCGAGUCCCAUGGAGACUCAAACAUUCCUUUCCCACAUCUCGAGCACGCUAAAUUUAUCAGACUGACAACUGGGACAUAUACAAGAGUGAAAUGUUUAGAGCACUCUAAGUUCGAGUGAAAGAGAUUAAUUUACAGAAAAUAAAGCCAAGGGUUCAGAAAAAAGUGCAAAGAGAAUAAAGGAACGUCUGAGCUAUUUAAAGCUUCAUGGAAAGUUGAAGGCUCUCCAUAUUUUGUUAGAAGAUAGUAUGCAACAUUGAUCUCUGUGACAUACUCCGAGUGCCACGUUGGCGGUCGUCUCUCACGAGUUGACCGACGAAUUUCUUGAGCCUCGGACUCGACUAGUUCUUGUUCCUCGUGCUCUGGUGCUGCUUCAGAAGAAUUUGAAUCUUUUGAAUUAUUUUUCACAUAUACCGGUACAGUCUCUGACUUUUCUUUUACAGUGCUAUCAUCCUCAUCUUUCCUUUGCAAUUGAUCUUCUAUAAAAAUAACAUCUCUGCUGAUGACGAUCUUGUGGGCAGUGGGAUCCCACAGACGAUACCCUUUUACUCCAUCAGCAUAUCCCAAGAAGAUACAUCUUCUAGAUUUUGCAUCCAGUUUUGUUUUUUCUUGAGCAUUGUACAUCACGUACACAGGACAUCCAAAUGUAUGUAGGUAGGAAUAAUCAGCUGGCUUUCCAGUCUAUAUCUCCAUCGCUGUCUUCAGCCCAAUUACUGUAGAUGGUGAUCGAUUUACUAUAUAACAGGCAGUUUUGGCUGCUUCUACCCAAAAUGAAUUGGGUAGACCAGCAGUCCUCAACAUAGCUCUUAUCCGUUCUGUAAUAGUUCUAUUCAUCCGCUCUGCCACUCUAUUUUGUUGAGGAGUGUAUGCCACCGUGAACUGUCUCUGAAUACCUUCUUGCUUACAGAAAACAAGAAACUCGCCGUCUAUAUACUCUCCACCAUUAUCUGUCCUCAAGCACUUGAUCUUUUUACCAGAUUCAAGUUCUACCGUGCUUUUAAACACUGGAAAUACAUCUGACUUUUUCUUAAUUGGAUACACCCAACAUCUUCUGGAAUAAUCAUUAAUGAAAGUCACCAUGUACUUUGCACCUCCCAUGGAUAUAUCCGGUGAUUCCCAAAUAUCAAAAUGAAUCAAGUCUAUAAUGCAUUUACUUCUAGCAAUAGAUCUACUGAAUUUUAAUUUAUGCUGCUUACUUGUAACACAAUGCUCGCAAAAUGGUAAACUUACCGAUUUGAGCCCCGGAAGCAAUUUUCGCUCAAAGAGAAUCUUCAAUCCUUGUUCUGACAUGUGGCCAAGUUUGAGAUGCCACAUCAUCGUUGACUCUUCUCCAUUUGACGCGACACAUGCAUCAGCCUCUUGUAGUGUUUCUCCUUUAAGCAUGAAUAAAUUAGCACCGAUCUUUUCUGCCUUCAUCAAUACAAACGCACCUUUAACGAUCUUCAUAAUUCCAUUCUCCACAUGAGUUUUGUACCCAUGACUAUCCAUUUGUCCCAAAGGUAAAAGAUUUUUCUUCAGGCCGUUGACAUGUCGUACCUCCCUAAUUGUGCGAAUUGUACCAUCAAACAUUUUUAUUUUGAUAGUACCAAUACCAACGAUCUCCAAGGCAUGAUCAUUACCCAUAUAUACAGAUCCUCCUGAGAUAGGUUCAUAUGUGUGGAACCAUUCUCUCCGAGAGGUCAUGUGUCAGGUAGCUCCUGAGUCUAUAAGUCAGACAUCAGAUAGUCGUUUUCUGCCUUCUAAAACAGUUGUUGCCUCGCUGUAGAGAAUUUCGCCAUCAUCCGAGGUACUUACGACACAACCCUGAGCAUUUGAUGACUUAGGUUCUUUGCCCACUCUUGUCUUCUAAUUACUCCAACACUCUUUCUUGACGUGCCCUUUCUUGCCACAGUUGUAGCAUUUAACAUUCUUCUUACUUCUAGAUUUUGAUCUACCAUGAUUUUGACUCCCAUUGGGGCCACGUUCCGUUGAUCUCCCUCUCGUCACCGAUAGCGCCUCCGCUUGCUGCGAACUUGCUUGUCUGUUUUUCUUAUUUUUUCGUCUGCUUUCCUCAUUUAAUACAGAGGCUGCAACAUCGUCGAAAACUAGACUGUCCACUGGAUUGCUGUUCGUUAGGUUGAUGAUGAGUUGAUCAUACGAAUCUGGUAGACUUUGAAGUAGAAGCUCUGCACGUUCAUUCUCCUCUAUAUUAUGACCCAACGUUGUAAGUUGUGAAAAUAGAGUCUUCAAGGUGUUGAUGUGAUCGGUUACCAUUAUAGAUUCCGCCAUUUGAAGAGUAUAAAGUUUCCUCUUCAAGAAGAUUUUGUUGUGUAGUGACUUGGCCUCGUACAAUUUUGUGAGAGUAUCCUAAAUUUCCUUCGCUGUAUUUUUCUUUGCCACACUGGAUAAUACUCCGUCUGCAAGUGCCAAGUGUAGAUCAGAAAUGGCAUUGCCAUCUAUCUCGUUCCACUUGUCAUCAGUUAUCUCCAUGGGCCUUUCUCCAAUUGCUUCCAAGUAAUUAUUUUUCCUCAAUACAACUUUCAUCUUAAUUUUCCACAACGAAAAAUUAUUUUCGUUAAAUUUCUCAAUUUCAUACUUUGCUGUCAUUUUGUUGAUAAAUAUUGUACACAAACUAGUGUAUCACCUUGAAUAGUUGUGAGUAUGUGUAAGAAUGCACACCAGAAAAGUUCCUAGGAAAGACUGGAGGGGUCACAAUAGUCCCACUUAAAACUCAGACUCCUUAAGCUCUUAUCGCCUUUGUGACAGAACUUUCCUAGACAUGUAUAAAACCACACAAUUGCUUUACUCACACCACUAUUCCCUGCUUUGUACCGCCAAAUUCUUCGAUCGCUCCCACCGUUUCACGUGAAUAGUACUGUAUACGUGAACAGUACCGUGUACGUGAAUAGUAUCCCUUACGUGAACAGUACCCAACUCUAAAAAAUACAAUAAAUAGCUCUGAUACCACUGUUAGGAAAUUGGUGGGUGAAGCAGGACCGCAGCUAAUAUGAAAUUGGAAGAAAAUAAAGAACAAGGACAAAAAGAGGAUACCAGAAAUUACGUGGUUCGGCUUUUAACCUACGUCCACGGGCGAAAACAGAAGGAAAUAUUUUACUCGUAAAAAGGAGUUACAAGUAUUGUAGUAUUUUAGCUCACUUUCCAAAAUCCCAAUACACCCAAACUCUCAAAACACUAAAACAAGAGCUUAUAAUUUCAAGCUCUCUAAACUCUCUCUAAAUACAAGAAAACUCUUCUCAAAAUUGGAUAAGCAAAUGAGGGAAUGAGCCCCUCUAUUUAUAGCCAAAAUCUUGGCUACUAUUCACUUUUUUUUAAAAAUUAUUUAUUAUUGUUCAAAAUUUCAACAUUCAAAGUUUGAUAUUCAAACUUUGAAUAUCUAGAAUUUUGAAUUUGAUAUUCAAAGUUUGAAUAUCUAGAAGUUUGAAUUUGAUAUUCAAAGUUUGAAUAUCAAGACACCCAAUCUUGACACUAAAUUCACCAGACUGACAACUGGGGCAUAUAGAAGAGCGAAAUAACUGGGACAUAUACAAGAGUGAAAUGUUUAGAGCACGCUAAGUUCGAGUGAAAGAGAUUAAUUUACGGAAACUGAAGCCAAGAGAAUAAAGGACAACACUUACGUGAAGCGACAUAAUUGUAUUGAAAGCACAAUGUCAAAUUCAUACGGAGAUCUAGUAUAUUAUUUACAGCUGGUGAGGGCUAAGAAUUGAUGUAGCUAGAAUACAAAGACGAUAAGGUAUGUUGUGCACUAUUGUUUUAUUCUACGAUCAAUCUUGACCCUUGAUGCUUGGCUCUCAAUCUUGUCCAUUGAUCUUCUUUGAUUUUGGACACUUCAAGACCUUUCAGUAUCAUUCCUUGUUGUUGGUGUCUUCCGUGCUGUAGAAUUCAUAUACAAGCCUUCCCGCCGACUUGCCAAGUAUUCGUUCAUUGAUGCAUUUUUAUCAAACAGCUGGGCUACUUAUGCCAAACACCGCCUGGUUUAACUCCCCCUCUCUAGCUCAACUAUCUGGGAAGACAAUUAAUUGAGAUAUGAAUCAGAAAAUUAAAUUUUAAAAAUUGUAUUCGGACUCUACAUUUUGUAAUGAACAUUGGUUUGACUUGUUAUACAUUUAUGCGUACAUAAUUAAUAACCGAUUCUCAAGUGCGGACAUUCAAGAGCACUGCUUAAAGACCAAAUAUUUUGAUUUACUAUUUUUUGUCUUUCAAUUUUCUUUUAAGUUCUGAUGACGUCCGCAUUUUAAAAUCCUGUGGAACAAAGGCCUGACGUGCAUAUAAAAUUCUUUUAUUUUUUCAGAGGAAAAUGGGUUAGAGAAGAAGAUUUGGCAAAAGAAUUGCAACGGCAUUUGAAACUAGUCUUCGUCUUUUAAUUCUUUUAUAUUUGUUUUUGUUAUUGAUGUUAGCUUGGAUGUGAACCCGUGUGACUGAAUUCAACUUAUAUUUGUUUUUGUUAUUGUUAUUAAUUUUAUUUGUUUUUGUUAAAUUGGACCACCAACAAGGGCGGUCCAUUAUCAAAUCAACACGGUUUAAUUAUUAUUAUUUCUACACUUUUUUUAUGAACAAAUAUAAAAUAAAAGGACAUUUACACCCUCAAUUUUAGUGAAAUAGUCAUUAACACCCCUAAAUUUUUAAAAGUAGACAUCAAGAUCAUUUUUUUACCUUAAUACUCUUAUACGGUACCUCUAUUAUUCCCAAAAAUUGAUUCUAAUGUUUUAUAAUAAAUAAAAAUAAAACAUUAAAAUAAAUGUAAUAACAUAUAUAUUUUAAAAUAAUUUCAAUAUUUAAAAAAUAUUUUUAACAUUUUACAAUCUAUUAACUAUAUUUUAUUAUAUUGAAGUAAAUUUUAUAAUAAAUAGAAUCAUAUUAUUAAAAUAAAUGUAUUAAAAUUUAAAUGAUUUUGAAUAUCAUGUACAAUAAUAAUUUUAACAUUACUAAUAUGUCAGAUUUUUUUUUAAGAAUGUAUUUAGUGCAAAUAUUUCUUUCAAAUCUCCACAAUAAAUAAAAGAUUAAAAUAAAUAUAAUAAUUUACAUAUCUAAAUUUAUUAAAAUAUUUUAAUAUUGUUAGUCUACUGCAUAGAUCACAAUAUUUAUAUAAUAUUUGUAUUUAUUAAAAACUUUAAAAUCAAUUCUUUUGAGAAUAAUAGAGGUAAAGGGUAUAAUGGUCAAAAUGGGGACUUUGUACUCCUUUUUGAAAACUUGAAGGUGUUGGUGGCUAUUUUUCCAAACCUUCAGGGUGUAGAUGUCAUUUUUCCACAAAUAUAUGAGAAAAUUAUCAAGAAAUACAGUAUCUGAACUCUGAAGUAACAAGGAUCACCUUUUAUGAAAUCGAUUGCUUUUCAUGAUAGACUGUUACUAUUUUUCUACAAUAGAUUGAAUUUAGUAAAAAAUUGAUUAAGAUGUCUACUCAUGGAGAGUGAAAUUUAUGUUCAAUACUAAUUUCAACAUGCAUGCACCACCGAACGUGUUUCUCACGGAAAAGUUGCUUGGAUUUUUGGGACUUCCUGUUCAAAUAUUCAACACGGCAUGCACCACGCGAUUGAACAUGCAAAAGUAGGGGUCUAUUAUCAUUUCCAGCAUUAUAGAAAUCUUAAUUUUGUUCAUUAUUUAUUUUGAUCAGCACUGUUGAAUCUCCAUGUAUUGCCAAUCACUGGGAAACAACAUAUUCUUAUUAAUUAUAUCCUCUAAUGGAGAGAACUCAUUGUCUCAGUGUAAGAUCACUGUGUCAUUAACCCACAGCCUGCUGAUUUGCUUGGUUGCUGCAGCAAGCAAAAAUAUUACCACAGAUCAAAAAGCUCUUCUUGCCCCAAAAGAUCACAUAACUUAUGCUCCAACCAAUCUUUUGACCGAAAAUUGGACCUCAAAUACCUCUGUUUGUACGGGGAUUAGCAUCACUUGUGAUGUCAAUAGCCGCAGCCUUGGAUAUUUCUCAAUUCAAUCUACAAGGCACCAUUAUUCCAAACACAACUGGUAAUUUAAGAAACCUUAAGUGGCUCGGCUUGGCUUAUAAACUACUUGACAUCUUCAACUUCAAAAUUGAGCUUUCUUUCCUCUUUGGCAAAUUGCAAAAAAUUAAGAAUCUUAGGCUUACUGGAAAUCCACUUGACCGUAUCCUCUCACGUUCAAUAGGUAAUCUUUCUAUGUCUUAGGAAAGAUUUCACGUCGCCAAUUGCAGCAUUAGUGGCAGAAUUCCUCAAGUAAUCAGCAAUUUAAGCAACUUGUUGGCAGUUGUGCAAAAUUUUAAUAUACUCGCAAGUGCACGAAUCUAGAAAUAGAAUAAUGGUAAUGAGGUCAAACCCAUAGGGAUUGUUUUAAAAUGACAAAAGAAUAGCUGCUGGUCUAGAGGUGGCUUACUACAUUCAUACAAGAUCGUUUCUUGUUCUCUAAGAUGUGCAUUAUACUAAUAAUGCUAUACAAACUUAUCCAAAGGUCUAUUAAUUAAUUCAUUAAUCCAACGGCUUGUUAGGUUGUCCUUUCAUCCAUACAGCUGCAUGCUUGUCUUCAUAUACACUGAUCUUAUCCUCUAGAUCUGUUCAGGCUGAGUGAUCUCUCACAUUUGCCAUAUCAGAAGAUUACAUGCCAGUAAUGUCAUGUGAUGACCUGUUGCUUGGUGAUGUCGAAUGCCUGGCCUUUACUUCUCUGAGCAAAUUGAUCAAACAAUUUGUUCAUUUUAUCGAACACCUUCACCAACUAACAUUUUAUUUACUUUGGAUGGUUUUUAAGUGCAUUUAAUGAUUAUUUUUGCUCCAACUUCAGAUAAACCAAACGCCAGUAUAUUAGAAGAAGAAGUUAACUGGCAGCUAACCAGGUCAAAAUAGCGACUCUAUAUAAAAAAAAUAUAUAAAAUAAAAAAAUGGGACUUUAUUUAAUUAAUUGUUGGUCUAAAGCUGUUGGUAUCCGUUGGCCACGUUUCUGAAGAGUCAUCUCAAAUCGAAAUUUUUAACGAACAAAGGACAUUGCUGCUGGCUGCCGCCCGUGAGAUAAAAGUGCUAAAAUCCAAAAUGUUCCACCAUCAUUUAUUCUAAUUUUAAUUUUCCAAUGGAAAAAAUUACAUAAUUAAAAUGGCUUCUAAUAUCAUUUCCACACCUCAAUAUGUGUCACUAUCAUAAAGUUGUUCUCAUGAUUCAUGGAAAAUUUGGAUUACAGCACCUGUACUUUCUGAUGGUUCAUUAUUUAUUCUCAGGAAUCGAGUCUCCUUACAUUACCAAACUAAUAACAAACAGGAAUCUUUUAUCCUUUCACGGUGAGAAAUUACAGUCUUCGUAUGAUCGCAGUGCCAUUAACCCACUGCCUGCUUCUUUACUUGGUUGUUGCAGUAGCAGCAGCAAGCUACAUUACCACAGACCAACAAGCUCUUCUUGCCCUGAAAGCUCAUAUAAGUUAUGAUCCAACUAAUCUUUUGGCUCAAAAUUGGACCUCAAAUACCUCUGUUUGUAACUGGAUAGGCAUUACUUGUAAUGUCAAUAGCCAUAGAGUUACAGCAUUUGGAUGAAUUUUUAUUGAAACCUUUCUGAGAAGUAGGACAUGUCAGACAUCAAAGCACUGAGAUAUCUUCAAAUAGUGGUAACCCCACUCAUCAAGGCACAAUAAAUUAUACAGAUAAAAUCCUCCACUCUUUCGUAAUCAUCGGUGUAGGCACGGUGAUGCGUCGGACAGAUAUGGGUCGGAUCCACUCCAGCUCCAUAUCAAGAUUCAUAAACCAUGACAAAAAUAGAGAAUCAUAGGUGUUGCAGAUAGUGAUGGUUGUUGAUGCACUCGUAAUUUAAAAUUUUAUUUUAUAUCUUCAAGUUCGCAUUUUAAGUGUACAUUUUUUUUUUAUUUUGUGAUCAAUAUAACUUGUCAAAUCUAUUUUUAAAUAAUUUUUUAAAACAUUUUAUUAACAAUGAUAUGAAAAUAUUCGACCCCUUUUCAUAGUAAAGUGAAUUAUUAUCCGACAAUCCAACUCAUGUUUUCAAAUUGUAAAUUGCAAAUCGUGUGUUUGCUCCUGUUAGAGUGCAAUUUAUGCACUAGUUUUGCAUUGUUUACUUCCCUUAAUAUCGAUGUUUUGCACUUAAUAAUAAUGAUUUACUUGUGUUUUACUUUUGUAGGUGCAAUUCUAUUGAUUUGUGAUAAAAUUGAGCUAUAAGAUGAUGUUUAAAGAUGAUUGUUCUCUUGGAGAAAUGAUGAGCGUCAGAAGAACUUUGUUGAUAAGGCGUGAGCGCGUGCUGUCAACUACGGGCCUGCUGUUUUUAGUUUAACGUGUUUUGUAUUUUUGGUUAUUUUUGUAAUUACGAAUUUAAUAUUUCAGAUAUUAGUAUUUUAUUUUAAAUAGAAUUCUAGAGGAGAAGAGAGAGAGAGUAUUUAAGGGAGGAAUCUAUUGUGAAAAAAGGGGAUUUUGGAUUGGAGGAAAAGAAAAGAAACCCUAGAUCUAAUUUUUCUCUUCUCUCUAUGAAGAACUAAACUUAUUUUUCUGGUUGAAGGAUAAUGAAGCUUUGAUUCAUCACUACUGUGAGAUCUUUCUUGUGCUUUAAUUGUUUUAUUGCUUUUUGGGUAUUUGUUUAUUCUCUGAAUUAUUUUCAUGAUUAUGUUUGUUAAUUAGAUAAUUGGCCACUAUUUAAUUAUCAACUUAAUCUAUUGUUAAUUAAAGGAUUUAUCGUAUGAAGAAUUUAAUGUUUGUGACAAAUAACAUAGCAGAGAGUUGUGUUGUGAGAAUAAACAAUCUAAUUUAAAUGAAUCAUCAUAUGUGUUGAUUAGGAUUUAGGUCUCUCUGGUUUUUCAGGCUGUCAAUUGAUUAAAUCCUAUGAUCGUAUCUAGGGUUGUCCAUUGAUUAGGGAAAUAUCCAACGGUCGUACCUUGGUUAUCGACUAAUUAAGGAGAGAUUGGCUAUUAGAGGGUCUCAGUAGCUAUAACCGGUCUAUUCAUAAGUAAUAAUAAUUUAUAUUUGAAUCAAUGAUCAGUAGUCGAAUCAAGCUGAGUUAAUUCCUUCAACCGGAGCUUUCUCCAAUUUGAAUUACAACUUUAAUUUGCAUUCUUGUUAUUUUAAUUUGAUUUUUAUUAUUGUCAACAAUUCCCCCAUUUUACGUUUUACGUUUCAAAAGGAUUUAAAUAAUUACCGAUCUCUGUGGACACGACCCUGCUCAAUCACUAUACACAAUUUAUUUAGAGUAGGAAUUUAUUUUUGUUGGCUUCGACAACCAUCAAAUUUUGGCACUGUUGCCGGGGAUUGGUGUCAUUUAUUUAAUCCUUUUUACGUUUUACUUGGUGUAUGAUUCGUUCUUCUCGUACAGGUACACUUUCGUUUGAUCCUGAAAUUGAGAAGAUAGCUCGCCACCUGAGACAGCAGACGAAGCGAGCUAAGCAACGAUCCUCGUCACCUUUGCUUUCUGAAACAGAUACGGUGCUUGAUUUAGUUGAAUCAUCUAGCGAUUCGGAAGAACAAGUGAUGGAUAGAGUUGCACCUGUAGAAAGAACUCUUAGAGAGUUAGCUGAACCAGACUUGAAUCAACAACCACUCUGCAUUCAAUAUGUAGACUUGGAGGUAAAUUUUGAAUUAAAGUCUGGUCUUAUUCAUUUAUUACCCAAGUUUCGUGGUUUUGCAGGUGAAGAUCCUCAUAAACAUCUUAAGGAGUUUCAUGUUGUGUGUUCAAGUAUGAGGCCACAAGGCGUGACUGAAGAGCAGAUUAAGCUGCGUGCUUUUCCGUUCUCUGUAGAUGGGCUAGCUAAAGACUGGUUGUACUACUUGCCUCCUGGAUCGAUUACAACGUGGAAUGGUUUGAAGAAGCAAUUCCUCGAGAAGUACUUUCCUACUUCAAGAGCUGCCAACAUCAGAAAAGAUAUUUGUGGGAUCAGACAACUUCCUGGGGAGACUUUGUAUGAGUAUUGGGAGCGAUUUAAACAAUUGUGUGCCAGCUGUCCUCAGCAUCAGAUUUCUGAUCAACUUCUUAUUCAAUAUUUUUACGAAGGACUGUCAUUGAUGGAUAGGAGUAUGAUAGAUGCUGCUAGUGGAGGCGUGUUGGUGAACAAGACCCCUACUCAAGCAAGGGAGCUGAUAUCAAAUAUGGCUGCCAAUGCACAACAAUUUGGCAGCAGGCAAGAUCCCACUUCAAGGAAGGUAAAUGAGGUAAAUAUUUCUUCUGUUGAACAACGUUUAGAUAAACUUACUUCUCUUGUGGAAAAGUUUGUUGUAGGUAAUGUGCAACAUAUGAAGACUUGUGGCAUUUGUUACAAUAUGGGUCAUUCAAUUGAUAUGUGUCCUACACUUCAAGAAGAACCCGUUGAACAAGCCAAUGCAAUUCAAGGAUUUCCAGGCAUGCCUCAGAGGAGGUAUGAUCCUUAUGCACAAACAUACAAUCCGGGAUGGAAGGAUCAUCCCAACUUCAGCUAUGGAGUUAGGCCGUCAGGAUUCCCACAACAGUAUCCACCAAGACAACCAGCACCUCCACAGUCAAACUCCAAGUCAGGUAUAUCUCUUGAAGAAAUUGUUAAAUCACUUGCGACUAACACUCAACAAUUUCAGCAGGCAACUACAGCAAGCAUUCAGAAUUUGGAGAACCAAAUGAGUCAAUUGGCGAUUACAGUGAGCCGUCUGGAGUCUCAAGUAUUAGGGAGAUUGCCUUCACAAUCUGAGGUGAAUCCAAAGCAAAACAUUAGUGCUGUCAUCCUUAGAAGUGGGAAGGAGUUGCAAGAGCCUAGUAAGAAAGUGACAAAGCAUGUAGAAGAUGAGUUUGAGAAGAAUGAAUUGAUGCCUCAAUCUCAAGAUGUGGAACCCACCAGAGCGAAACCCCUACCUAUUGUGAUACCUCCUCCUUUUCCAAGCCGGUUUGCAAAAUCCAAGAAGGAGGAACAAGAGAAAGACAUCCUUGAGACAUUUCGCAAGGUUGAGGUAAAUAUUCCUUUAUUAGAUGCUAUAAAACAAAUACCUCGAUAUGCUAAAGUCCUUAAGGAACUGUGCACCUCCAAGAGAAAAUUAAGAGGAGAUGAAAAAGUUCACAUGGGGGAGAAUGUUUCAGCAGUUCUCCAAAAGAAACUACCUCCUAAGUGCAAGGAUCCAUGUAUGUUUACUAUCCCUUGUAAAAUUGGUAGUGUUAGAAUUGAAAAGGCUUUGUUAGAUCUAGGAGCUGCUAUUAAUGUCAUGCCUCGUUCCAUUUAUUCAUCUUUAAAUUUGGUCCAUUAAAAGAAACUGGCGUGAUAAUUCAACUAGCUGAUAGGUCUAAUGCAUAUCCUGAUGGGGUAUUAGAAGAUGUCUUAGUACAAGUUAAUGAGUUGGUUUUUCCUGCUGAUUUUUAUGUACUUGAUAUGGAAGAGGAUAACUCCUCUAAUUCUGUCCCAAUUUUGCUAGGAAGACCUUUUCUUAAGACUGCUAGGACUAAAAUGGAUGUACAUAAAGGGACUCUUACUAUGGAGUUUGAUGGAGAGGUUAUAGAAUUCAAUAUGAAUGAUGCCAUGAAAUAUCAUAGUGAGGAACAUUCGGUAUUUUCUGUAGAUGUUAUUAACCCGAUAGUGCAGGAAGUUAUUUACAAGGAAAAAACGACGACAUUUCAUGAUAGAAUGAUUUUGUGAAAGGAGUUCUCUGUUGGUCAAAAAGUUCUUCUUUUUCAUUCUAAGCUUAAACUUUUUUCGGGUAAAUUACGUUCUUGCUGGGUUGGACCUUUUAUUGUUACUAAUAUUUUUCCUCAUGGUGCAGUUGAGAUUCGGAGUCCGACCUCUGACAAAGUUUCUAAGGUUAAUGGUCAUCGCUUAAAACCUUUUUAUGAAGGUUUUUCGGUGAAUAUUGUGGAGGAUGUGGCUCUCGAGAGUCCCAAUUAUGGAGAUUGAUGCAUAAAUGUGUCUAGCCAAAGACAUAAAACAAAGGCGCUUUUUGGGAGGCAACCCAAAUGAUUUAUUUAUUUUGGUUUUUGUUAUAUCUUCUUUUAAUUUUGAUUCUUUUUUUUUUUAAUGUGUUUGCUUAUUUUGGUCAGAAUAAAAUUUUUGAUAAGGCGUGUCCACGUCUUAACUAAUAAGUACUUCUGUGAUUUUUAAAGUAAAAUGGUUUUAAGGUGUGCCCACGUGCUUAUUAAAAAAGUGCAUCUGAAAUUUUUGUUGUCUCAAAGUGAUUCAUCACAAAAAUAAAAAAAAAAUUAUUUAUUUAUUAUUUUUUUUUCUAUUUAUUUUUUUUUAAAAAAACGAAAAAAAAAGGAGAUUUUCUUUUGUUCUUUCUUUUAUAUAUUUAUUUAUUUAUUUAUAAAAAAAAUUCAAAAAAUCACUGUUAAAAAAAAAAAUUUACUGUUCAUAAAAUCCCUAAUUUUCCAGAACUUGUUUUCUUCUCCAACCGCUUGCAGCACACCAGCAGCAAAGCAGCCCGCCGGAAAACGCACCACCCCGCGCGCGCAGCACCAGCAUCGAGCACCAUCCCGCGAGCGCAGCACCAGCAUUCUGUGUCUCGCAGCCCAGCAGCGCGCAACGAAGUCCCACCAGCGCGCAACGCAGCCUCACCAGCGCGCAACGCAGCCCCAACGCACAGCAAACGAGCACGCCCCGCAACGCAGAUCCGCAGCUCUAGCCCGCCCGCGCAGCGCAAAUCAAUCCAGCCAUCACCAUCGCGCAGCGCAUCGGUCCCGCGCGCGCAACGCAACGCAGCAUCAGCAUCCCACGUCCAGCGAGCAGCAACCCGCGCGCGCAGAUCUAGUCUUCGCCCAGCAGCGCGCAGAACCAGCGUCAGCCUAGCUCUCGCGCGCAACACAGCCCACGCAGCACGCAGAUCUAGUAGCCCCAGCGCGCGCGCACAACACAAUCAGCGCCAUCCCGCGUCCAUCAAGCAAGCUCCAGCCGAGCAGCAAUCGCAACGCAACCAACGUACGACCUAUAUUCCAGCUGGAUAAAUCGAAAUCCGUGAGUGCAAUUAUUGUAACAAUGCCGAAGAGAAAAGCAUCAACUUCCAAGUCAUCUAAAAAGACACCCGUCGCAAAUAAAUCCAAGAUUGCCGGUCCCACUACGGUUCCUUGGAACACAAUUUCAGAUUCACGCCAAGCCGUGAGACAAAGCUCGAAACAUGGAAAAGGCAUGAGUGUUUUGCCACUUGCAGAAUCCAAUCUUGGAGGGUGCCUCGCAUUCGCGACUCAACAAGAGAAAGAGAGGUACAAAGAUAUUUUCACGCACAAAAUACUUCCAGCUAAGUAUAUUCCUUACCUGACUCUUGAAAAAUUGAAUGUUAAGGAUAAUUUUGAUUCUUUGAUAGAUAAGAUUGGGUUGCGUAAGUUUGUUGAUGUUGAUUGUUUGGGUUAUGUUGAGUUGAUUAGGGAGUUUUAUGCUACUUUUCAAUUUAAUAUGUCGAAUGAUUUUACUUUGCAUACCCCGGAUGUCAUAAAGUUUAGGUUAAUGGGACGAAAUUUUUCACACUCUAUCACGGAUUUUAACCUAGCUUUAGGAUUCAUUGAUGAUGAUUAUUCUUCUAGUGAUGCAUAUUUAGGAACAACUUGUGACUUUAGCGAAAAUUUUGAGCCUUAUGGUCUUUGCCGUAAUUUAUCUGUUGAUCACAAUGCUUAUGACCCAAGUAAAUCAAAGAGUUCUUUCUUACGUGAUCCUGUUUUGAAAUGUGUGCAUCGAUUCUUAGCAUAUAAAUUUUUAGGCAAGAAAGAUCACUCAGGAGUUUUCUCUAAAACUGAAUUUUAUUUUAUCUGGUGCAUGUUAAAUGAUGUGAGGCCUAAUUUAGGUUUUUGGUUAGCGGAUUAAUUUCAAAGUGUGCUUAAACGGUAUAUGACUUUAUUUCUUGGUCCAUACAUUACUCUGUUAGCUGUAAACCUACCUAUGUGUGCUUGAUCUUGACAAUAAUGAUUUGCAUCUUGCUUGAUUUUUGGAUAUGUCUGAGUUUGAAAGAACAGGUGUGGUCGAAUUCAAGGAGGGGAGAUUUCAGUUUACUGAACCAGCACCCACUCAACCUCCGAAGAAGCUUUAUGCUAGAAGUGGUGCUACCUCUGAUGACGAGUUUGACGACGACACUGCUGCCCCGCCAACUAUUCCUUCUACAUCCGCACCACCUUUGAGCAUUCAGUUAGAGAAAAUGGAGCACAAGCUGCACAAGAUGGAGCAGAAUUUGGCCGCACACUUCGAGAGUGUGGGAUUUACCCCACCAUUUCCGCCAAGCCCAUAGACGUUAUGUGGAUCAAAGUUCACAAUUCAGGGAAGUUUCUUUUUGCCCUUAAUCUUUUAUCCUUACGCUUUAAUUUUUGUGUGAGCUUUGAUUAUCUUACAUUGGGGACAAUGUAAGUUCUUGGUGUGGGGGAGGGAUUUUUGCAUUAUUGAUGUCUGAAAUUAUUGUUUUCACUCUACUCAUCCUUAAAUGAUUUUGGAGUUAGUAUGCUUUAUAUAUUAUUAAUUUUCUUUUCCUUUCUCUCUCACUACUCUUUUCCCAUCUAUCUCAAAUUAUUUACAUCUAUUUUUUUUUCUAUCAUACUCUUUCAUCACUCACAUUUUAUCUUUCAUUUUUUUUACUACAUACAUCUUUCUCGCUUAUUAUCCUUUUUACCUUUCCUUUUAUAUCUCACUCAUACCUUCUUCUCAUUCUACACCACUAUUGAUGGUUGAUUCGUUUGAAGAGUGUACAGGAUUUGAUGGCAAAUUUACCAACUUUGUGAGGAUUUAAGCCUAUGAGCAACCACUUUGCUCUAAUUAUUUUUUGUUAUGUGAAUAUCAAUCCUAGUUUGUUUAUUCUAGAACUUGCUUUGUUAUGCAUGUUGAAGCCACAUUACGGGAUUUUAUGCAUUAAAAUGAUAAGGGCAAACCCUUUUCUAUUUUUCUAUUCUCCCAUUUUUUUUUCUCUAUCCGAAGACCUUUAUUUGCUAUCUUGGUUUGAGCCUUAACCAUUACCCAUCUAAUUCUCUCCGUCUACUUAACCAUUUUUCUUCUUUUUGAGCCUCAAUUUAAUGAGAUUUUUUUUGGACUCAUUGUGUGGAUAUAUUUUGUUGCUUUUUCUACCUUGUAUUAAAGUUUCUCAAUUAGAUCAACAAGCAUUAUGCUUGAAUUGAAUUGUGCAAGGUUCGUUUCUUUUGUUUGAUUCAAAAACAAAAAAAAAAAGAAAAAGAAAAAGAAAAAGAAAAAUCGAAAAAAAAAGAAAAAAAAUGUUUACAUUCUUGGUGACAUGAGUAGAAAUAAGCAUUUUGAUAUCAUAAGUUCAUUCAAUGAGUUCAUUCUUCUCAUUUUGAUCUCUUUUUCUUUCGUAAACCUUUCUUUUUCAUUCAACCUAUUUAACCCCAUUACAACCCUUUUAAGACCCUUAGAUUUUUGCAUUUUAUUCAUGUUUUGUGGAUUGAGAUGUGAUAUAUGAGCAAGCUUAUGGUAAUAGCAUUCUUUGAUUUGAUUUGAGUGAAUAAAUGACACCCUAAAUACUUUGAGUGCAUGGAGUGAAGUUAUUGAGAGGGCUAUUAAAUAUUGUUGCACUUGAAUUUUGAAUGGAUCUUCUUGGUGGUUGAAUGUUCUUAUUCUAUCUUAUGAAAUUCUAUGCUUUAAAAUCCUUGUCUCUAGAAUGUUGAUCGACUUAAUUUCUUGAGGUAUGCUUGCCUAAAAUUGUUUUUGGAUGAGUUGAGAUGAGAAUUGAGUGGAACUUUGGGAUUAAUCUUGAGUUAUAUGCUUGAGGACAAGCAUCAUCUUGGUGUGGGGGAAUUUGUUAGAGUGCAAUUUAUGCACUAGUUUUGCAUUGUUUACUUCCCUUAAUAUCGAUGUUUUGCACUUAAUAAUAAUGAUUUACUUGUGUUUUACUUUUGUUGGUGCAAUUCUAUUUAUUUGUGAUAAAAUUGAGCUAUAAGAUGAUGUUUAAAGAUGAUUGUUCUCUUGGAGAAAUUAUGAGCAUCAGAAGAACUUUGUUGAUAAGGCGUGGGCGCGUGCUGUCAACUACGGACCUGCAGUUUUUAGUUUAACGUGUUUUGUAUUUUUGGUUAUUUUUGUAAUUAUGAAUUUAAUAUUUCAGAUAUUAGUAUUUUAUUUUAAAUAGAAUUCUAGAGGAGAAGAGAGAGAGAGUAUUUAAGGGAGGAAUCUAUUGUGAAAAAAAGGGAUUUUGGAUUGGAGGAAAAGAAAAGAAACCCUAGAUCUAAUUUUUCUCUUCUCUCUAUGAAGAACUAAACUUAUUUUUCUGGUUGAAGGAUAAUGAAGCUUUGAUUCAUCACUACUGUGAGAUCUUUCUUGUGCUUUAAUUGUUUUAUUGCUUUUUGGGUAUUUGUUUAUUCUCUGAAUUAUUUUCAUGAUUAUGUUUGUUAAUUAGAUAAUUGGGCACUAUUUAAUUAUCAACUUAAUCUAUUGUUAAUUAAAGGAUUCAUCGUAUGAAGAAUUUAAUGUUUGUGACAAAUAACAUAGCAGAGAAUUGUGUUGUGAGAAUAAACAAUCUAAUUUAAAUGAAUCAUCAUAUGUGUUGAUUAGGAUUUGGGUCUCUCUGGUUUUUCAGGCUGUCAAUUGAUUAAAUCCUAUGAUCGUAUCUAGGGUUGUCUAUUGAUUAGGGAAAUAUCCAAUGGUCGUACCUUGGUUAUCGACUAAUUAAGGAGAGAUUGGCUAUUAGAGGGUCUCAGUAGCUAUAACCGGUCUAUUCAUAAGUAAUAAUAAUUUAUAUUUGAAUCAAUGAUCAGUAGUCGAAUCAAGCUGAGUUAAUUCCUUCAACCAGAGCUUUCUCCAAUUUGAAUUACAACUUUAAUUUGCAUUCUUGUUAUUUUAAUUUGAUUUUUAUUAUUAUCAACAAUUCUCCCAUUUUACGUUUUACGUUUCAAAAGGAUUUAAAUAAUUACCGAUCUCUGUGGACACGACCCUGCUCAAUCACUAUACACAAUUUAUUUAGAGUAGGAAUUUAUUUUUGUUGGCUUCGACAACCAUCAGCUCCAUUACAGAGUUUCAUCAAUUUGAAAUAGAGAAUCAUUUGUGUUCUAGAUUAAUCGAGGGUCUAUAUCCAAAUCUAAAAAUUGACUAACUUGGUUUCUAUUAAAUUCUUAAUCCUAACAAGAAAAAUAGAAGAUUAAAAAUGACUAAUUUGGUUUCUAUUAAUUUGAGUAACGAUCGAAUUACCUCAUUUAUUAAGAUUUAUCAAAAUCCUAUGUCAAAAUCCAUUAAUAAUAUAGGUUGGAUGAUGAAAUAGUCACUUAUUAUUAUUUUUGACUUCAUAAAUAGAUGAACGGAUGUUAUUUUUGGAUUCUGGAGAAUCCAAAAUAUCAGGAUAUGUGAUAAAUGGAAUUAAGUUGUAGAUAAGAUAGAAAUGGAUUUGGAGAGAGAUUGGAAUCCUGGGUAAUCCGGUGUACGUUGUUGUGUUGAAUGCUCGUUGACUUCACGUUGACUGACACAUUAUUGGAAGAAGUGAGCAAGCUUAUUUUCUUCUCUCAUUUUUAAAUUUGUCUAAGUUUAUUGAUGUGAGGCCUUUGAGAUUGUAAGUUUCAAAUCUGAGAAGAAUAACCACACACCCAUUAAUAAAUUUGUGAGGAUUGUGAGGGUUGAUGCAAUAUAAUUUAGAUGCAAAGUGUUUACAAGUACGAUGCUUCAUAAGUGUUCUUCAAUCAUUAUAAACUCACGUUAUUUUUAUAAUGAUUGUUUCAUCUGCACAUGGAUAUAAUCAUAUGUUGAGAUUUUUUCCUAAAUUAUGGUCUUAUUUGGUAUUGAGGUGUUAGAUCUUUUAAGAUACAAUUACUAUUGGAAAAAAUAGUGCAACUAUGAAAUAAAAGUUAAUAUUGUGUACUAAUUAUAAUUGUUAAAUAAUAAUUUUGACAAAAUUAGUGAAGAUAUAUAGUUUUUUUUUUAUCAUAUAAGUAUAAAAUCAAAUCAACUUAACUUCUAAACUAUAUAGCAGCUACUGCUUACCAAAUAUUUUAGUGCUGUAGCUUUUAAGUUAUAACUGCCUAACCUCAGUCUCAAACAAUGGCUAUAAAGAUCAAAGAUUUCCUCAUAAAAAUUAUACGUCUUGUGAUUGCUUAUUUAAUUUAUAUUUUUUUAUUUAUCUUUAUUAAUUACAAUCAUCUUUUAAUAAAUUACAAUUGGAGGAAGUUGAUGUUCGAAGUGCUUAUGUCGACUCGAAGUUGUUGGGAAUUAAUGCAUGUAUUGAUUUAUUGGGAGUGUUUAAAUGAUUUUGUGAUUUACUUGAUUGAUUGAUUGAAUAUUGUUUGAUUACUUUGUAUCCAUUCUAGAAAGUUUAUUUCUUUGUGAAAUUUCGACAAAAUAUGUUUUUCUUUUUAAAUAAUAAGGGUGUUUUAAGUAAUUUUUAAAAAUAAAUGGACUAACUAGAAUUAAUUAUUAGGUAACUAACUCGAACUGUACAAGGUAAGCGAACAUUUAUGCUGAUUAUAUCAUGAUAAAUCAUUUUCCGAUUAGAAUUAGGAAACCAUUAGCAUAUUGACUUUUUUUUUUUUUUUUUUCAAUCUCCCUUUGCGAAAACGGAUUACAGAAUUAGAAAACAAUCCUAAUGAUAUUAUUGUUAGGUUUAAAACACGGCAUAGAUAGUCAAAAGCUAACUAGUCUGCAGUAAUUUGUUAAUUGCUAUCGCCUCUCCAUGCGUGGUGAAUAAUUUGUUGCAUGCAAACUUUUUCCAUUUUAAAUAAACACAACGCGAUGUUUAUCUGCUCCGCGUUUUGCAAUCUGUUUAUUCGUUGUUUAUUUGCUUCGUAAGUCCUCAAACUUUGAUAACCAAAAAUUUCACCAAACUAUGAAAAUUAUUCUGCAGGUUAGUUUUUAUUUUCGGAAUAAUUAUUUGAGAAUACUAAAACACAAUAUAAAAUAAGAAAAUAGGGGGUUAAAAUUUGAAAAAAAAAAACAAAAGGGCAUGUUGGAUAGAUUACUGUGGUUUAAGAAAAAAAAUUAUUCAGUUGGGAAUUUUUUUUCUUUAAUUUUUGUUUUACUUAAUUGAGAUUUCUCCUUAAUCCUUACAGUUUUAAAUUUGGAUAACAUAGGAUUAGUAAUUUAGUACUUCCUUUGCAAGCUGAGGUUAAGGAUGAAAUUCUUUUAAGAAAAAAAGAUAAAAGAGCAUAACAAUAGUCAAUUAUAAAUAACCACAAAUAAAUACAAACAAAAUGUUUAUGAAGUAAAUUAAAAAUGCACAUAUUAUUUUUUAUUUUAUUUCUUACUAAUCUGUGUAUUUGCUGCUUGAAAAACCAUAAAUACACAGAUGACCAUUGGCUUCGCACCAUUUAAUCGGGAUACAUUUCUACGUACAAACUGAACAAGGCUAUUGAUUUUUAUUUAUUUAUAAAUUACUAUUUCAAUUUUCACUUUUUAUUGGGUUGUUUAAUGGAUUAGUGAGGCUGGUGGUCGUUGAUGCACUCACAAGGUACAAUUUUGUUUUCAAAUUUCAAAUUCGUAUUUUAAAAUGCAGCACAUUAUGCAUACAUAAUUAUUGAUUUUCAUAUGUGGGUGUUUUGAAAUAUUGCUAAAAGGCCAAACUUUAAUAAACUAUUUUUGAUCCUUUUUUGUUUCUUUUUUCCUAAAGUUUGAGUGAUAUCCGCAUUUUUAAAAGCUAAUGUAUGCAAAAAAUUCUUUCAUUUUUCUGGGGAAAAUAGGUAAGAGAAAAAGUUUUGGCAAAUGAGCUGCAACUGAAUUCAAAACCAAUACGAUGCGAGCAUAGGAAAGAGGUCAGUGUUUUGGAUUUGAAUUUAAAGAGGUCAGUGUUUUGGAUUUGAAUUUAGUAUUGAGCUGAAUUUUAUGUUUAACACAUGAUUCUAUUAUAGUACUGCGAUUAAUAAGCUCAGCCCCGGAUUUGCUUUUGCUUUUGCUUUUACUUCAAGUGAAAGAAAGAGGAAACCUUUUGUUUUUUCUUUGGUUUUUGACUAUGUUACCUAUACAGAGAGUCAAGAUAUCAGCCAUAAGUGAUGGUGUUAAAAAGAUUAAGCAGCGCACACAAUCUUACUGCUGUCUAGACGAUCCAAUGAUGACUCCAGUCUUUUGGUUACAUUAGCUUUAGUUGAAAUAAGGGCCAAUUUAGCAAACACUAGCUUUGGUGGCUUAUUAUGUUUAAUGUAAUGCUUAUUCUUAAGGAAUCUAAUGUAUAUAAGAUGAUUGAAUGAUCUUCUAUGAUUGUGAGUAGUAUAGGAUAAUUGAAAAGAGUCUGGUGUUAAAGGCUUACAGUUUUAAGCCUUUUAAACCAUGCGAUUUUAAAGUUUUACCGGAUUUUCCCGCACUUUAAAAUUUUAGACUGAAACAUUUUUGUAUAUAUAUACAUAAAAAUAUAUAUAUAUAAAUAUAUAAAUUAAGAGGGAUGAGUUAACUGAAGAUUAUAAUCAUUACAACAAUGCUGAUGAGUGAUACAUCACUUGAAAUUUACUUGUCAGUUGCUGAAAUGAUGAAAAAAAAAAUAAACAAUAACAGUGAUAAUGUUCUCUUGCUGAAAUGACUUGUAUAUUAUACAAUCCACUCUACUUAAUGAUAUCGUUUUAAUAAAUGUUUGAUGAUCUCCAUUUAAAAACUACUUCAAUUUUUUUCUUCAUUUAAGUUUUUGGUUGUUGAAAAUAACCUUAAUUAUCAAAUAAUUGGAGAAAGAGUAAAGAACAUUUAACAAAUUUAUGUGCAAAAAAAAAAAAGGGAGAAGUUGAAGAGAAAGGGUGCUUGCAGAAGUAGGUGUCAAAGAUAAAUCGGUCCAUAGGAAUUAUUUUGGUUAUUUUUUAGCAAUAGAAAAAUUUUUUAGCAAGUAAAAAUUAAUUUUUUUCCGCUUUACUAAAAAAUUAACUAAAAACUUAUGCGAUAGCAUUUUUUAUGGGUGCAUAUACUUCCCUUUAAAAAAAAUAUAAUAAUUAAUGCUUAAUAUAGUAUUAAAUACGAAAAUAUCAAUAUUUGACUACUCAAAUGUAUAUCAUUAGGUCCUUAAAAUUUAAAAUUGAAGAUACAAAAGGUAAUAUAUAUAAAUUUCAUUCUCAUGGGAAAGGAUCAUCUUAUAAUCUUAUAAUAUUUGAGCUUUGAAAGAUUUUUUUGAAACAAAUGUACUUUUAUUUGUGUACAAUCAAUAUGUACUUAUUUAUUAUAUUUUUAUUUAUUAACUAUCAAUCAUGUGAGUAUAUUUAGUCAGAAAAAUUAUAUCAAGAGAGAACCCUAAUUUCACGUAAAGACAAAUACAAGACAAAUAUGGCAAUUUCUAUACUAUUCACUUUCCUGUAAAAUCAAUUAUCUAAAAUGCAAGUUUGUGGCUUCAAAAAACUCGCCAAAGAAAGAAGAUAAUAGCAAUUGAGCAUUGAUAGCAAAUCUAAUGCAUCCAAUUCUUCUUAACUUGAUGAGUGACGUGAAUGCUACCAGUCUGUGACACCCAAAUUUUUAUUAUUUUAUUUAUUUUUUUAAUGGAAUUUGUAAAUGACGUUUUUGCCCUUAUAAAAAGGGUUAUUCAUGGAAUAAUUUUUAGGAAAGGGUUAUUUUUCCAAAUUCAAUAGGGUUUCUUAAGACUCCCUAUAAAUUCAUAUUUUUCUCCUUUCAUAACCCUAAAAGCACGACGUUUCUUCUUUUUCUAUACUGCUCAUUACACUCUUACCCAAACCCUAAGAUUCAAACCUUUGGUUAAGAGAGAAUCAAAGCGAUUGGUAAGUUUAUUCCCCUUAUUCUCUACAAGAUUCCCAAUCACUCUAUCUAGGGUCUAUAUUGGCAUGAUUUUAGAUUGUUAUAGAUCAUAAUACAUGAUUUAGAAUGUGUUUAGGCUUUGUUUAGAGUUUUGAUUUAUUAUGAGUUUAGUUAAUCAACCUUGACGUAUUAAGCACAUAGAAUAGUUCCAUAGAAUAUUAUGUUAUUCUAAGUUUUAGAUUAAGAGUUAAAAUUCUAAGCAUCAGACUUGUACGGGUACGAAUUAGAAAAAUCGGGUUCUUAGAAUAAGUUAUUAAUUGUCAUAUCUUGUAUUUGUUUAAGGUGAUUGAGGCUCUUAGAGGGUUAGAGGUGUGUUAAUUCAAAUUCUUUUGUCGAGGUAAGUAACUUCAUUCCUAAUGUACUGGAUAUAUAUAUAUAUAUAUGAUUAUUUUGAUAUUAUUAUAAGUACACAAAUUUUUUUACUACUUAGAAGAUUAAUUGAUUUUCAUAACAAAAUCAGUUUGUGUAAAUGUUUUCAAACCUAAAUUCCUUUUAAUAAAUUAUUUUGUAAAGGCUUUUAAAUAUGUAAGUUAUUUUAUGACAUGACUACCUUUUAUAAUUUUGUCUAUGAAAUAUUUGCAAGCCUAAAUUGUGGUUAUGGACUUUCAUGAAACUAAUACGAAUGUUUUGUACCUAUGUAUGAUUUCAAUUAUUUAUGAUUGUACGGGGGCCACCUCUUGGGACUAUAUGGGGGCCACCUCUUGAAAUUCAAAGCAUCACAAAAGUGCCACGUAUAAGUCAUUAUGUUUUGGCUCAUUAUCUGUAGUUAUUCUGAUUCUGAUUCUGAUGGUAUAAUACAAUAUAUGUCUGUUCUGGACCAGUACUAGGUUUUUGUUUUGAGUGUGCACAUGAUAUUCUGACUCUGUUUCUGGCCGGGUCACUAGGACUAUAGGUGACACUAUGUGACAUGAGCUAACCUUUUGUUUUCUGUGAAUGUGAUAUAUGAUUUGCUUUUGUAAAUAACUAUGCUUUUGAUAUUCUGAGUUACAAUGAAUUUAAAUUAUUUUAUAGUGAUAUAUCGUUUUAUGAAAUUUAUGGAUUAUGAUAUAUGUUUUAAUUAAAAGAAGGCUUGCAAUAUUUUUGGUAUUGAUAGGUCUAGUGUGUUAGGAAUAUUUUUACUUACCGAGUUGACGGCUCACCCCUCGUCAUUACUUUUUGCAGAUUAAGUUUCUUUUGAGAGCUGCGCUUAGCUUUGGAGUUAGUAAUUUUCUGUUUCCGUUUGCCAUUUGAAUAAGAGGAGAAAUAAACUCAUGUUUCUAUUUAGUUUAUUUAUGUUAUGAAUGUGUAAUUUGGAGUUUGAGACUUUUGUUAUUUUUUUUAUGUCCUCGGGAGAGAUUAUUUAGUAUUAGACGUUUGAAUUUGUGGAUUUAUUUGAAUAAGAAUUUGAGGUAUUUCAGUUUGAAACUUAUGAGUAAAGAUUAUGAUUUGUAAGUAACAUCCUUCUUCACGUGCUCCGCACGUGUUAGAUUUGGGGUGUUACAAUUGUGGUAUCAGGGCAUUAGGUUUGGGAUUCUGUAAACUUUAUUUGAGGCUAGAUUUCUUAAGCACAAUCAAUUAGUUCAAUGGUAUUGCUUGCCAUGAGGUUAUCGGAAAGAGUAGAUCUUUAAGGCGAGGAGUAAUUUUGGUCUUUUUGAUUUUCUAGUUGCUUGUGACUUUGUAAUAACUCCUUGAUAUAGGAUUUUGGUAUUAACGUAGAAUGAAAUAUUUGUUUGCUCUUGUUGUCAAUUACUAACUUUUCUCAAUUAUACUAUUUACUCAGUACUUUGUGCUAUAGCAAGCCCUUUAACUAUGAAUUAUUUACCAUUUUAUUUAUUUAUUUAUUUUUAUUCUUCGUGUUAUAGUCAAAAGAUGUCACGUAGGGGAGGUGCUAGGCAUGCCUUUAGCUCGAGAGAUGUUUUAGGUAUCGUUGAUGACGCUGACCUAACCUUGCGCGAGAUGGCUAACGAAGGGAAUCCUAUGAUGCGCGCAAUGGUUAGAUUGAUGGAACAACAAAGUAAGUUGAUUCAAGAUAUGGCUAGAGGUAAAGUUGGGGCACAUGAGAUUGUGCCAGUUGAAAGACAAGGUGGUGGAAGAGAUCAGGGAGGUAUGAUGAGCUUAGAGCGGUUUAGGAAAUUGAGACCACCUACCUUUCAGGGGGCUGCCAAUCCUAUGGUUGCAGAGGCAUGGCUAAAACAGAUGGAGAAGAUAUUUAUGGCUAUGGGUUGUAAUGAUGAUUAGAGGGUGAUAUUGGCCUCAUUGGUCCUUUAGGGUGAGGUAGACCACUGGUGGGAUGCCAAAUCCCGUCUUUUGAGGGCCGGGUUGCAAGAUGCACCUAUUACUUGGGAGUUAUUUCUGAAGGCUUUUCAUGAAAAAUAUUUUCCUGAACGAGUUCGACAUCAGAUGGAGGCUGACUUCCUGAAAUUGACUCAAGGAACAAAGCAUGUUGCGGAGUAUGAGGAGCAAUUUACUGCUCUAUCUCGUUUUUCUCGUACCUUAGUUGCUAAUGAGGGUAGUAAGUGUAGGAAAUUCUUGGAAGGCUUACAUCCAAACAUAAAAAGACGGUUGACCAUCCUUAAGCUUAAUAAUAAUGCCCAUUUGGUGGAUAGUACGAUUAUUGCAGAGAGGGAUAUAAUUCAAUCUCAAGUUGCACGAUCUAAUCGACAUAAUAACCAGCCAAUAAAACAUGAUAGUAAUGGUAGUGAAGGUGAACAUAAGUGCACUCUAAUGGUGGGUCUAUUCAAGAGAACAAACCAUUCUGUAAUCGUUGUGACAAGUACCAUAAUGGCACGUGUUAUUUAAAGAUAUGAGCUUGUUUUGGCUAUGGACAGAUUGGGCAUAAGGUUAUAAAUUGCCCAAAAAAGCACAGUGGUAACAUAGAUUCUGCCGAGAACCAAAGGAAAAAGCCACGUGUCUUCGCCAUGGUGGAGCAAGAUAUUAAAAAACCGAAUAACGAAGCCUCAGGUGCAUUACCUAUUUUCCAUAGAAAGCCUUGAAUUUUUGAGUAAUUGGUAUUGUGCUUUUCCUCCAUCCUUUCUUAUUGGAUGCAUCGUAGCUAGAGUUUUUAGCCUAAUAAUCACUACUAGAAAAAUAGGCUUUACUGACGCUAAAUUAGUGUCAGUAAUUACUUUUCCUGACACUUAUUAAUUGUGUCAAUAAUGCUCCAGCCAUAAUACACUGACACUAAUUUCUAGUGUCAGCGAUUUUUGUGUCAGUAAUUCAUGUCAUUAUGGUAUCACGAAAAUAAUGACACGAUAGCGUUAGUAUUUAAUGAUACUAUUUAUAUGUCAGUAAUUUAUGAGACUACAGUAUCAAGAGCACACUGACUCAAUAACAUCAAAAAUUACUACUGCUAUUUUAAACAUUUAGUGUCAGUAUUUAGUGAUGUUAUGGUUCUUUUGGUUAAUAGUAUACUUUGAUUUUAAUUAUAUUUUCCUAUUUGUUUUACAACUGAAAGAAAACUCAAAAUAUAUUAAAUAUACAAAAUCUCGCAACACAAUUGCAUAAGAAACAUCUCAAAUACAUCACUCAAAUUCAUAUCAUUAAACUACAUCAUUGUUUGGAAAAGAAAAAUAUAAAUACUAAAUUAAGUCUUGGACAAGCUCUUAACAACCAAGUACUAAGUUAAGAUUCAACAAAUAUUAACCAACAAAAAGAAGCACAUAAUGUCAUUGAACAUCCACAAGCGGCUUCAUUUUUCUUUUCCCACCUACAAGUACAUAAAAUCAAUUAGUAUACCACAAAAAGUAAUUCUUGAAUUUUUGGGAGAAAAAACAAUCAGGCCAAUUUCAGUGUUCAAAGAGACUAACAAAGAAUGGGGGCAAAAACAAUACAUAGCUCUCUUAGUGCAAGCUAAUUGUAAUAGGUAGUAUUGUGAAGAAUAUUUAUCUGCUAAGAAUUGAACUUGAGUGGAUUUUCCUACAGAUCUAUACACAACUCAACUUAAGAAGAAUAAAAAAAUAAAAAAAUAAAAAUCCUAAGGAUUAAGAAAGAUAAAUGGAGAUUUAUUAGUAUACAUCCAAAAUUAGAAACUCAUUAAACAAUCCAGGGGUAAAAAUUGAGGAAUAAGAAUAUAGCGUAUCUCAGGAUAAGACCAAAGACAUAAUAACAGAAACAUUUGAGGCAAACCACUACAAAGUUUUUACAUAAUAACCCAAAGCAAAGCAAACCAUUAUAAAAUUUUUACAUAAUAACCUAGAAACAAAACAGACGAAAAUUGGGCAAGUCCAUAUCCCAAACCUCUGUUAGGAAAAAUGUGUUCAGCAGACUCAUGGCUCCAACAAUAGAAAUUAACCCGUACACAAGGAAACAAAUUAAUUGAUAUAAAAAACAGUCAAAGACAAAGCCAACUAAGAAGAUUAACUAAUUUGGAGAUUGAAUUACAUAGUUAUUUUUACAAAAUAUAGCAUAAGCCCAUUGUAUUUCAUAGUAAGCAACUGCAAAAAUGCCUAGAGGCAAAUUCAUAAAGGAAGAGUAGAUAGAAGAAAAAAAAGACGAGGAAAUAAACAGCUUGAAACAAACAAAUCACCUAACACAUCAUGGGGAAUUGACUUGUUAACGUUAAAGAGCAAAAUAAAACUUGGCACCUUCAUUCGAAAAAGAACAGACGCUUACCCCUUACGGAGAAUGGCUUAGGUUUUUCUUUAGAGUUUCAGGCUGAUUUAUAAGAAUAUGAAGAAGAAAUGAUUAUGGAAGUUUGAUAGUGAUCAAGGAUUGAAUAUUGGGCUUAAAAUACAAAUUGGCAGUGAGGGCUGGUUUUCGAUCAUAAUGUUGAGAGACCACUAAUUCCCAAUACUUGUACCCUCUCACAGAAAAAUCCAAAUUUAAUAAACAUGAACUAAAUCCAGUGUAUUGAGUGUUAUUAUUUAAUGGAACAUAAAAUCUCUGGGUCAAAUAAUUCUAAAGUUAAACCAACAAUAAUCCCAAAAGCUAUAGUUGAUAAGAAAGGCCCAACAGUAUACUUCUAUCACACAAAAUUUGAAGAUAGAAAAAAGAAGGGCCUUUUUGUUUUUUAACUGAAACUGAAAAAAGAUUCAGUAUUAACAAUUCAUAAAUUUUAAAGACGUUGGUUUUCCAUCUUAACACUGAAAACUUGGUGUUUAUAUAUCCGAAUAUAAUUAAGCCAAAAAUUUUAAUUUAUCACUAAAUAGGAAAACAACUAAAUAAGCUGCAUAGUUUUAUUUUCCAAUAAAUGCUUAUAAUAUUUAUUCAUUCCUUACCAUAUAAAAACCUAUCCUUCAUUAUUUAUUUAUUUUUUAUAGGAAACAGAGAAAUUAGUAUUAAUAAGAACAAUAAUUACAAAAUGUCAAAAGGGUGUCCACAAAAAAAGGCUAUUGAAGUAUCACAGACCAAUCUCCAAAUUAGGCAAGCACUCAGAUUCCAAGCUAAUACUCCAAAAAACAAAUCUAACCUCAAACUACCUGAUAAACAGCUCAAAAUGACAUAAUCCUCAACAUUCUUCAGACUAAUUGAUCAUGCAUCAAGGUAUGUUGGGAUCUACAAAUACAUUGAAAAGAUCUUUGCAAAUAACAGUACAACUAGAAAGCUUGGUGUUUACAUUCUUGAAAAUUCUUUUUAUUGCUGACAAUAGAAAGGGAUUCCUUUUUCUGCUUAUUUCCUAAAAAUACUAAUAUAUGCUGCCCCACUAUACUCACAAGUAAUCUUACACAAAUGCUCUUUAGACAAGAUUAGUAUUUGCUACCUUUCACCCCAAUUACAAAACCAUAGAAACUCACCACCUAGACAAAUUUUAAAUUGUCUCUAUAGUUGGCUAUUAAAAACUGCUAAAUUUGUUUGCAGCCAUGCCCAAAAAUUUCAAGAACAUUGAACACAACGUAUUAUAGGUACAAACAAGAUAAAAUGAUGUUCCAGGAUUCACUCGACAUGUCAUCCAAGGUGAUACAAAACGGUAGAACUAUAGAACUAGGACAAAACUUGCAGCAAGAUAAUGGCAAUUUCCCCCUUUCGUGUAAGAUAAUCAUAUUAUUCUUCAAAGAGAGACGCACAAAAAAAAAAUGCUUGUUGAAAACAAGCAAGCAUAUGGGUAUGAGUCUAUUGUUGUUUAUCUGUGAAUCAUGUUAAUAACCAGCCACAGAAAAAUAGUAAACAAUAGUUUUCACACAAUCGAUGCAUAUUAACACAAGCCACGGAUUAUGAUUUCACUAACCAUUGCACACAAAGGUUCCAGACCAAUUUUAGAAGGAGGUUCUACAAGUUACUUUCCUUCAACUACUUGAAAAUCAAUCAUUAACUAAAGAAAUACACAUGAAAUUAGUUUAAAUAAUAGGAAAGGUAAAGGAGACAUUUUAUAAAAACUCUUAAAUGUGGUACUAUGAUUUCCACAGACUGUGCAACAAAAAUAAAAUUGGAUGAACUAUAAUAAGUGAGAAGACAUAUUGUAAUUCUAUCAUCAAAGAAAGAUAAGCUUAAUCAUUUUUAAUUUUUUCUCAAAUAUCCAGUAGUACCUUAAGGUAAUAGGACAAGAUCGCAGAAGUUGUCAUGAAGAGUGUAAAGCACUAAAUAACAAAAAUUAUACUAAUAAAUAAAACUCAAUUUAUUUUCUCCCUCAAUCAAUUGCUUUGAGCUUACUAUGAAUUCAACUAUGAAUUUGAGGAAAAAAUACAGACCUCAGUUUGUCAACUUCUUGUUCAUGAGAUUCAGCCGCAGUAAAUGCAAACCUCCAUUUCUCGUCAAGCAUUGUUAACCUCUACGACAAAUUGAAGGUAAGAAGAUGAACAAAAUAAGUGUAAUGUGCAGGAAAAAAAAUGAAGUCUAUGGGUACAACAACACUUCAAGAUUUUUCAAGUUCUAGUUCAUUUAAAUAGACAUUCCUUGAACUUCAGUAGCAAAGAAAGUACAUUAUAGCAACAAUUUCAAUUCAUUUCAAUCUUUAGAAUUUUUUAUUUUAAAAAAAUAAAUUCCUUCAAACUAGUGAAAGGAAAAUAAAAGUGUGUUUACAGAAGAAAAAUCAUGGAAUGAAUUAAUGACCAUGCAAGUGAGGAAACACAGAAAUUUCUGAAUAAGAGCGAAACUAACCGUGCAAAUGAACAAAGAAAAUGUAAGUCUUCAAGUGCUACAACAAGCAAAACUACCUAAAAACAAGCAUUUUCUUCUUGAAUUAAAGACAAAUCAUGAACUUUGUGCAAUCUCAAAACAUUCAGACAAGCAUGAACUUAGUUAAUUCAUAUCAUAGUCAUUGUCUCUAUUAAAAAUCUUCCAACUAAAAAAAAUAAAAAAAUAAACAUGUUGGUUUCUAUAACAUAAUUUGCCUAUCUUUACAUGAAACAGAGCAAUAAAUAACACUUAAUAAUUAUGAAAUACACAGCCAUUCAAUCUAUAUAAUAUAGAAAUAAAGGAAAAAAAAGAAAAAAAUUCAAAUUACAAUUAAAUAAACAAAAAAUAGAUAUGGAAAAGAAAUCCCACCAAGACUGCACUACUGGGAGAAUUUCUCAACAUCUGCAACAACCCAUAAAAUUAAAAUUAACAAAAAACCCUAAUAAUCAUAAGCUAAAAUAAAACAAAUUUAUUAAUUAAUUUGACAAAGAAAAUAAAAUAUUAAGCCAUUACCAGCAGUUAAAGCCUUAAUCAAGGCAACCUGUUUGCCCUUAAAGUCAUUGAAAAUCUCCUUCACAGGUCUAAGUAUAAGGUGUGGUAUCCCUUCCAUAGCAAGAAAAUUAACUAAUUUCUCAAUAAUUUUAUUCAAAUUCAAGCAAAUGGGUUUUGAAUAUUGAACAAAAAAAAGUGAAAUUUGACCAUAAAAAGAAAAAAAAUUGAUAAAAGAAGCCUCGAUUACGGUUUUGGUCCGUUUUUCAAUUUGAGAAAAAAAAGGAAAAAGGGAAUAAAAGCCUCACUUAGGGUUUUAGCUUUAUAUUAUCUAUUUGAGUUAAAUGAACGAGUUUGUGAAUGGAAAGAAAAAAAAGGAAGAGAUCGAGAAGAGAAAAAGGAAAGAGAAAGGGAAAGAGAAAGGCAAGAGACAGUUUUGGGUUUGAGUUUGGGUUAGAGAUUUGUGUGUAUAAAAGACAGGGAGAUGGGGACAAUUGCUAAGUUUGGGAUAUGUUUUACUUUCGUUUUACAUGUUUUAAAUUCUUAAUUUAGUACCUGCAGUGUCGAACCACUUGAACGGAAGUGAUAGUGGCAACGGCGUGGGGGUGGGCGCAGCCAUGGGGGUUGGGCGCGGCCGUGGGCGUGGGCGUUUGGGCCUGGUCAUUCUCCAUCUUUCACGAUAGAGAAGAAGAAGUCAAGAAAGGCAAGGAAAUUACGCAGCAGCUACGACAUGGGCUCUAUUGCACAAUGGAAAAGGGGAAUUAGGGUUUGGUUUUUUAUAUGUUAAUAUUUUAUAUAACAUUGUAAUUCCAACUCAAUUUUAUGGGGUCCAGUGGUUUGCAAUCUAAACGUAAAAGUUUUGAGUUUUAGAAAUCCCAGGUUCGAGUUAAAAUCAAAACAAAUUUUAAUGAUUCUUUUUAGAUCUCUGAUGCUGAAGUAUCAGUGAUCUCUAAUAUUUAAUUUACUGAUACAUUAGUAUUAAUAAUUUGUGACAUUUAUUUGUUAAAAGUGGAAAAUGGUGCAUAGUUAGGUAAUUACUGACACUUUUUUUAAAGUGCCAGAAACAAAGUGUCAGUAAAAGUCAUUUUUGUAGUAGUGAAUUUCUUUUUUCAUCCAUUGAAUUUCUAUGGUACAUUAGUAGGAUAUGAGGUGUGAUUUUAUAAGGCCAUUAGGAUUAACUUAUGGUUGGAUGGAGUAGGGACUAAUAUGAUAUUUAGUAGGAUAUGGGAUGAAGAUUGCAAUAAAAGUGUUUCACCAGCAAUGUGCGAGCGCAUUGAAGGGUUUUGAAGUUGAAUGUGAAGUGAUAAAAAAUAUUCACCAUCGAAACCUUAUCAAUGUUAUUAUUAGUUGUUCGAACGAUGACUUCAAAGCAUUAGUCCUAGAAUACAUGUACAACGGGAGCUUGGAGGAUUGGCUGCAUUCUAGCAAUUAUGUGCUUAAUAUUUUUCCCAGGUUGAACAUAAUGAUUGACGUUGCAUCAGCUUUAAAAUAUCUCCACUUUGAUCAUUCAACUCGUAUCAUUCAUUGUGACUUAAAGCCUAAUAAUGUGUUGUUGGAUGAAAAUAUGGUUGCUCAUUUGAGUGAUUUUGGCAUAGCAAAGCUUUUAAGUUGAAGAUGAGUCUACGAUGCGAACAAAAACCCUUGCCACUAUAGGUUAUACGGCACAAGGUUUGCUUGAAACAACUUUUUUUUAGUUUAUUUUAAAAUUUCCAAAUUAUUGAUUUUUACGAUCCUCAUAUCAAAAUGUUAUUGAUUAUUUAUCUAAUUAUGAAAUAAUUUGAUUCAUAGAGUAUGGCAUAGAAGGAGAAAUAUGUGCAAAAAGUGAUGUUUACAGCUACGGGAUUAUGUUGAUGGAAACUUUUACCAAGAAAAAACCCACAGAUGAGAUUUUUGUUGGAGAAUUGAGCUUAAAGCGUUGGGUUAAUGACUUGCUUCCUAAUUCAUUAGUGGAAGUUGUGGACAAAAUUCUGCUAAUUGAAGAGGAAAAACAUUUUGCCGCAAAGGAGCAAUGUCUGUUCUCUAUCUUUAUUUUGGCACUAGAGUGUACAAUGGAAUCACCGGAAAAGAGGAUCAAUACAAAAGAUAUUGUUACCAGAUUACUCAAGAUAAGAGACACGUUGAGUAAAAGGAUAGGAAAUUUAAGUUAAUUUUGUUUGCUUUCAUUGAUAGUUACUUUGAAUUCAAGUAAUAAGUGUAAGAAUCGUUUAUCUUUUCUUUUGAUAUUUUUUUCUUGAGAAAACUGUUGUAGUCAUCUUUUUUCAAUGGGCAGAGUUGAUUUAGUUCUUCCAAGAAAUGCUAUUGUUGAUCUUUGUUACAUACGUUUGUCUUUUUUUGCAUGCAUUUAGGUAGAAUAGUGGUCUAGCUGCAGGCUAACAAGUCAAGCUACGCUAAAAGCGUAUGAUUUAAUUUAUUAAACCUAACUUCAAGUUCAAGAAUUGCAUCUCAUUGCCACCAAUGCUUUAGACACCUAUUCGUAGGUUUGUGUCCUCAACUUUGUUUGGAGCAAAAGUUCCAGUCCCAUGGAGGCUCAAAUAUUUCUCUCCUACGUCCCGAACACGCUAAAUUCAUCAGCCUCUUGAACCCUCUCCUGAGGGCGCCUUCUGUCCUCUGUUUUCUGUUUCCAUACACAAAUAGCAAAAAGAAUUCAGACUGAUAACUGGGUAUCUAAGAAUAUAUAAGAGUGAAAUAAUUAAAAAAAAUUGUGCUUUUUUGUUUGUCGUGUUAAAAUCGUAAGGUAUCUAAGUACUAUGAAAGAGAUUAGUUUACGAAAACUGAAGCCAAGGGUUCAUAAAAAAAAGUGCAUAGAGAAUAAAGGACAACGCUUAUGUAAAGCGACAUAAUUGUAUUGGUAGCACAAUGUCACGUUCAUACAGAGAUCAAGUACAUUAUUUACAGCUGGUAAGGGCUAAGAAUUGAUGUAGCUAGAAUACAAAGAUGAUAUGGUAUGUUGUGCACUAUUGUUUUAUUCUACAAUCAAUCUUGACCCUUGAUGCUUGGCUCUCAAUCUUGUCCAUUGAUCUUCUCUGAUCUCGAAAACUUCAAGACCUUUCAAUCUCAUGCCUUAUUAUUGGUGUCUUCUAUGCUGUUAAUUUCAAAUACUAGCUUUUCCGCCAACUUGCCAAUUAUUUGUUCAUUGGUGCGUUUUGUCAAACAGUGUGGAUACUUAUACCAAACGCUUUCUGUUUUAACUACCCCUUUCAAGCUCAAUUAUCUGGGAAGACACUAAUAAGCUUGUUUCUCAAGUAUAUGUAUCUGAAAAUUAAAUUUUCAAAAUUAUAUUCGGACUCUACAUUUUCUAAUGAACAUUGGUUUGGCUCAUAAGCUUAUUAUACUUGGGCUUGGUAGGAUUAUCGGUCGGUAGAUGAACAAGUGUUAGAGCUUUCGAAUUUAUGCCAAUUAAAAAAAAUCUAUAUAAAUUUUCCACUAGGCUAUUACCACAAUAAACAUUUGGAUGAACUAUUAUUGAAACCUUAUUGAGAAGUAGGACAUGUCGCAUACCAAUGCACUGACAUAUCUUCAAAUAGUGGUAACUCCACACAACAUGGCACAAUAAAUUAAGAGUUAUAUAGAUAAAAUCUUUCACUCUUUGGUAAUCAUCAAUGUCGGCAUGACAAUGCGUCCCACAAAUAUGGCUCCUUAUCAAAAUUCAUAAAUCAAAACAAAAUAGAGAAUCAUAUUUGUUCCAGAUUGUAGUGAUGGUUGUUGAUGCACUCACAAUUUACAAUUUUAUUUAAUAUCUUCAAAUUCGCAUUUUAAAAUGCCCAAAUGUUUGUGUAUACAUAAUUAGAUAAAAUCUUUCAUUCUUUGGUAAUCAUCAAUUUCACUAUUAUUCGCUUUAUUAUGUUUGUUUCUUGCAGUAUGUUAAAAGAUUAUGUUGUGAAUUUGUUUUACAGGCCGCCCGUAAGUCUGCGCCCACUGUUGUGAAUUUGUGUAUACAUAAUUAGUAAUCGAUUCUCAAGCACGGACAUUUAAAAGCACUGCCGAAAGACAAAAUUUUAAUUUACUAUUUUUUGUCUUUUAAUUUUCUUUAAGUUUUAAUGAUUCCGCAUUUUAAAAUCCUGUGGAACGUGUAUGUAAAAUUCUUUUAUCUUUUAGAGGAAAACGGGCAAGAGAAGAAUAUUUGGCAAAGGAAUUGCAACCGCAUUUGGAGCUAUAUUUAAUUUUGUCUUUUAAGUCUUUUACACUUGUUUUUGUUAUUGAUGUUAGCUUGGAUGUGUGUGCGUGUGCGACUGAAUUCAACUUACAUGCUAUUGAUGCAGCCACCAAAAAGGGGUGGUCCAUCAUCAAUCAACAAGGUUUAUUAUUAUUUUCAUAUGGAUUUUCUUAAUUAUAAAUAAUACUAAUGCUAUUUCAUAGUUAUAAAUAUAUUAGAAUUAAUCGAAAUCAUUUUUUAGUGUGGCAUUGCCAAACUACCUUUUUUUAUAAGUAAUUACUACUUUCACAUUAAGAAAAAUACUCCUAUUUUUAGGGAAAAAUCAAGUACUUGUAGUUGUGAAAACUUGAGCUCACUCGCGUAUGAUAAAUCUUCAUAUUAAUUACAUAAAUAUCCUCUAAAAUUUUAAAUUAACUAUUCAAAAUUCGAUGUUAUACGGGUAUUUCAUUUAUUUGAGUAGGGGUUAGGGGUCAAUUGGAUACAAAUUCAAAAUUAUCCUUACUUGAGAAGGUGAUAAAAAUUGGGGAUUUAAUUUGGAUGUCAUUAGCUACAAAUAUUAAAUUCAUACAUUUAAUUCAAAAUUGGAGGGUUGAUAUAUGCGCAUCAUCGUGCACGUUAUAGUGACACUGCGUCACCAUCCCACAACCUCUCCAAUGAAAAAUUAACACGUUUCUCGUGUGCAUUUGAUCAGAAUCCUGAAAAUUAAUCACAAAAUUGUACUUUUAUUAUAAAAAGAAUAAAGAAACUCCUGAAAAAAAAAUACUUACAUAAAUGGUUUGAAAAUUCUAGAUUUCAAGUUGUCUAUAUUAGCUUGAUAUUUUUAUAAAUAGUCAUCCUCUCAAAAAAAUUCCAUCAAAAUAUAUAUUUUAAUUUUAUGUUAAUUCAUAAACAUGAAAAAAUCAUUUCAUAAUUAAUUAAAACAUAAUUUAUUGUUUCUCAAAAAAGGUAGAACUUAGUGAUAAGAAAAAAGUAUCUCAAAUAUAUGUAAAAAAAAAAAAAAUCUUGGUUGGUUGGAAUGAUUGAAUUUGCUUUUCUUUUUCUUUUUUAAGAAUUAAGACAAUCGGAUUGAUUGAGUAAUAAUAAUAUAUAUUUAUUUGGAGGUAGGCUUUCGUCUCAUGCAGAUUGAUUAGAGAGAAAACAAAACAAUUUUAAGCUCGUUAGAUUCGAAGCUGCUUACCUGUCGUGUGGGGAUCACUUCCGUGUCUUAUUUUUCUAAAAAAGUCUGGACCAUUGGAUUUAUGUGAAUCGUACUGAACAUUGGAAUUGAUGUAUAAGAAAAAAAUUUUGUAGUCGUUUAAGGAAAAAAAUUAUUCAAUUGGGAAUUUUUUUCCUUUAAUUUUUGUUGUACUUGAUUGAGAUUUCUCCUUAGUCCCUACAGUUUUAAGUUUGGAAACCGUAGGAUUAGUAAUUUCGUACUUCCUUUGCAAGCUGAGUAUAAGGAUGAAAUUCUUUUAAGAAAUUAAAAAAGAUAAAAAAAAGCAUACCAAUAGGCAAUUAUAAAUAACCACAAAUAAAUAUAAACAAAAUGUUUAUGACGUAAAUUAAACAUGCUCAAUUAUUUUCUUUUAUUUUCUGCUCGGAAACCCAUAAAUGCACUAAUCCAGUAUUACUAAUUUCAGACAGAAAAAUUUGAAUUUAACCGGUAUACAUUUCUACAAACCAAACAAGGCUAUUAUUUUUAUUAUUAUUUUUUUUUUUUUAUAAAUUACUAUUUUAAUUUUUCACUUUUUAUUGGGUUGCUUAACAGAUUAGUGAAGUUGGUGGUCGUUGAUGCACUCACAAGGUACAAUUUUAUUUUAGAAAUUGAAAUUUCGUAUUUUAAAAUGCAGGCACAUUAUGUAUGCAUAAUUAUUGAUUUUCAUAUGUGGGUGUUUUGAAAUAUUGCUAAAAGACCAAACUUUAAUAAACUAUUUUUGAUCUUUUUUUUUCCUUUGUACCUAAAGUUAGAGUGAUAUCCGCAUUUUAAAUUCAUGUGGACCAAAAGCUAAUGUAUGGACAAAAUUAUUUUAUUUUUCCGAGAAAAAUGGGUAAGAGAAGAAGAUUUUUCUCUUGAAAAAGAAAAACUAAUACGUUGCAAGCAUAGGAAAGAGGCUAGUGUGUUUGGAUUUGAAUUUAGUAUUGAGUUCAAUUUUAUGCUAAGCUCUUUUAUAAUACUGCGAUUAGGGAGCCCUUAAGUUACAUGUAAUAUAACUUACACUCGCUCACUUAAAUAGUGGGUGGGUUGGGGGCCCACUCACUGUUCAUGUGAGUGAGUGUAAGUUCCAUUAUAUGUAAUUUAGCACUUGCCUUGCGAUUAAUAAGCUCAGGAUUUGCUUUUGCUUUUACUUCAAGUAAAAGAAAGAGGAAACCUUUUGUUUUUUGUUUGAUUUUUGACUAUAUAUGUUACCUAUAUAGAGAGUUGAGAUGGCUGCCUUAAGUGAUGGUGAUAAAAAGAUUAAGCAGCGCACACAAUCUUACUAUCGUCCAGACUGUCCAGUGAUAGACUCUAGUUUUUUGGUUACAUUAGCUUUAGUGGAAAGAAGGGCCAAUUUAACAAAGACUAGAUUUGGUGGCUUGUUGUAAUGCUUAUUCUCAGGGAAUCUAAGGUUAUAAGAUGAUUGAAUGAUCUUCUAUGAUUGUGAGCAGUAUAUUAUAAUUGAAGAGAGCUUGGGCUCCUAUGAUGUAUAACAAUAACACAUUACUAUGAUUGAGAAAACUCAGUUACAAUAAACUCUUCAUUUAUUCAUUGCUGAGAUUGAAUGGCAAAUAGAGAAUAGAAUGAAGCAGAGGAAUCUCAUUGCCUGUAAAAUUGAGCCUAUUUAAUAUUACUUGUAGUUUUUAUUGUAAAAUAUACAGGUAUGACCAUGAUCAGAUGCUUUUUUUAAAAACAAAUGAGACAUCUUUGAUUUAUGGUAGUUUUAGAGAAAAAAAAAACAUAUAAAAAUUAAGAGGGAUGAGUUAACUGACGAUUACAAUCAUUACAGCAAUGCUGAUGAGUGAUACAUCACUUGAAAUUUAUUUGUCAGUUGCUGUAAUGAUGGAAAAAAACAAUAAACAAUAACAGUAAUAAUGUUCCCUUGCUGAAAUUCAAUUUUGACUUUCGACUCUUGGCUUUUAUGGAGAGUAAAAUGACUUGUAUAUUAUCCUCAUACAAUCCACUCUACAUAAUGAUAUCAUUUUAAUAAGGCAAUGGCUGAUGAUCUCCAUUGAAAAACUUUUUGUUUUAUUUAACUUUUUGGUUGUUGAAAAUAACCUUAAUUAUCAAAUAAUCAGAGAAAGAGUAAAGAACAUUUAACAAAUUUAUGUGCCAAAAAAAAAAGGAGAAAUUGAAGAGAAAGGAUGCUUGCAGAAGUGGGUGUCAAAGAGAUAAAUCGGUCUAUAAGAAUUAUUGUGGUUAUUUUUUUGGUGCCUUGGAGUUCUUUAAAUUAAGGGCCCAGUUUGUCCAUUUGUUUCAGUUAGGUCCUUAUUAAAAAUUAAUUUUAAUAUUGGUUUUCUUAAUUAUAACUAAUACUAAUGAUAUUUCAUAGUUAUAAAUAUAUUAGAAUUAAUCCAAAACAUUUUUUAGUGUGGCAUGGCUAAAACUACCUUUUCUAUUAGUAAUUACUACUUUUGCAUUAAGGAAAAUACUCCUAUUUUUAGAAAAAAGUCAAGUACCUAUAGUUGUGAGAACUUGAGCUCACUCGCUUAUGAUAAAUCUUCAUAUUAAUUACGAAAAUAUCCUCUAAAUUUUAACUAAACUAUUCGAAAUUCAAUGUUAUUCGGAUAUUUCGUUUAUUUGAGCAGGGGUUAGGGGUCAAUUUGAUACAAAUUCAAAAUUAUCCUCAUUUGCGAAGAUGAUAAAAAUUAGGGAUUUAAUUUGGAUGUCACUGGCCACAAAUAUUAAACUCAUGCAUCUCAAAAUUAGAGGGCUGAUAUAUAUGCAUUAUCGUUAUAUUGACAUGUGUCACCAUCCCACAACCUCUCCAAUGAAAAAUUGACAUGCAUCUUGUGUGCUUCUUAUCAAAAUCCUGAAAAUUAAUCACAAAGUUAUAUUUUUAUUAUAAAAAGAAGAAAGAAACUCCAUAAGUGAAAAAAAAAAAGACUUAAACAUAAAUAUUUUAGAUAAUCUAGAUUUCAAGUUGUCUAUACUAGCUUGAUAUUUUUAUAAAUAUCAAGAUUUCAAGUUGUCCAUAGUAGCUUGAUAUCUUCUAAAAAAAUUCCAUCAACAUAUAUUUUAAUUUUACGUUAAUUAAUAAAUAGAAAAUUCAUUUUAGAAUUAAUUAAAACAUUAUUUAUUGUUGCCAAAGAAGGAAGUACUUAGCGAUAAGAAAAAAGUGUCUCAAAUAUAUGUUAAAAAAAAAUCAUGGUCGGUUGGACUGAUUGAAUUUUUUUUUCUUUUUCUUUUUUAAGAAUUAAGACAAUUGGAUUGAUUGAGUAAUAAUAAAAUAUAUUUAUUUGGCAAAUGGCAGGUAGGCUUUCUUCUGAUGCAGAUUGAUUAGAGAGAAUAUGCAGCAAUUUUAAGCUUGUCAGAUUCGGAGGCUGCUUAUCUGUCGUGUGGGGAUCACUUCCAUGUCUUAUUUUUCUUGAAAAAUCUGGACCGUUGGAUUUACCAUUAGUCAAUAGAGAAAUGCUGAUCUUGAUUCUUGAUCAAGAUCGAAGUUUGAUUCUAUCUAACAUGAUAUCAGAUUGCGAAGCAAGCAAAUUGAAAGUAACUUGUUCUAUUUUGAUGGAAGAAACACAAUUUCUAUUGUUCUAAUAAAAAAUUUUAAUUAUACAUAUUUUUCUUUUGCCACUUGGGUUUGUAGUCCAGUGGUGAACUAUUGGCCUUAAAGUUAAGUAUGACUAUGAGGGCAAUGGUUCGAGUGCCCACGAACUCAAACUCCCUCAAUUAAACAUAAUUAUGUGGAGAUUACUUAUAACGUCUUUCUCUCUUGUGAAAUCUGAGUGGAGUAGAAAUAUCCCUUUCCCGUGAGGGUUAUUUGGCUAGGCAUGUACUUUAUAGAAUAAAAAUGUAAUAAUGUAAGUCAGUGCAAUGAUCUACUGUCAUAGUAGUUGUAAAUAUCUAGGUGUAAUACAGUAACCUGAUGCUUAAUCAGUUAAAAAAAAUGUAUAUCUUUUUUUUAUUUUUUUCAUUGUGAUCACUAUAACUAGUCAAAUUUAUUUUUAAAUAUUUUUUAAAAAAAUAUUUUAUUAACAAUGAUAUGAAAAUAUUCGAACCCCUUCUCAUAGUAAAGUGAAUUACUAUCCAACUGAUGCCUUCAAACUGUAAAUUGCAAAUCGUGUGUUUGCUCCAUUACAGGGUGUCUUCAAUUUAAAAUAGAGAAUAAUUUGGUUCUAGAUUAAUCGUGGGUCUAUAUCCAAAUCCAAAAAUUGACUAACUUGAUUUCUAUUAAGUUCUCAACCCUAACACGAAAAAUAGAAGAUUAAAAAUGACUAUUUUGGUUUCUAUUAAUUUGAGUAACACUUAAUAUUUAUCAUACAAUAGUCACUUAUAUUAUCAAAAUCUUGGGUCGAAAAUAUUAGGAUAGGUGAUAAUUGGAAUUAAGUUGUAGAUAAGAUAGAAAUGGAUUUGGAGAGAGAUUGGAAUCCUGGCUAAUCCGGUGCACGUUGUUGCGUUAAAUUCUCGUUGACUUCACGUUGACCGAAGCAUUAUUGGAAGAAACAAGCAAGCUUAUUUUCUUCUCUCAUUUUUUACUUUUGUCUAAAUUUAUUGAUGUGAGGCCUCUGAGAUGGUAAAGUGUUAAAUCUGAGAAGAGUACCCACACACCCAUUAUCCUAUUACUCUUAUUUUAUCACAUGCAGAGACGUCAACGUUUGAUUCGCACGGAAAAAAAUUUGCUAGGAUUGUGAGGGUUGAUGUAAUGUAAUUUAGAUGCAAAGUGUUCACAAGUGCGAUGCUUCGUAAGUGUACUUGAAUCAUUAUAAACUCACCUUAUUUUCAUAGUGAUUAUUUCAUCUGCAUGUGAAUAUAAUCAUAUGUGGAGAUUUUUUUCCUAAAUUAUGAUCUUCUCUGGUAUUGAGGUGUUAUAUUUUUUAAAGGUUAAUGUUAAGUUACAUGCAUGUAACUUACAACCCUCUCACAUGAAUAGUGAGUGGACCCACACCAUUCACUAUUCAUAUGAGAGGGUUGUAAGUUACAUCCUCUUUUAAAUUAUAAUUAUUAUUAUAAAAAAACUGCAACUAUGAAAAAAAAUUAAUAUUAUGUCCUGAAUAUAAUUGUUAAAUAAUAAUUUUGACAAAAUUAAUGAAUAUAUACAGUUUUUUUAUCAUAUAAGUGUAAAAUUAUAUCAAAUUAGCUUUUAAAUUAUACAGUGGCUACUGCUUAUCAAACACUUUAGUGUUGUAACUUUUAAGUUAUAACUGUCUAGCCUUUAACCUCAAUCUCAAACGAGGCUUAUAAAGAUCAAGGAUUUCCUCAUAAAAAUUAUACGUCUUGUGAUUGCUUAUUUAAUUUAUAUUUUCGUUAUUUAUCUUUAUUAAUUAUAGUCAUCUUUUUAUAAAUUACAAUUGGAGAAAGUUGGUUGAUGUUGUUGACACACACACACACAUACAAAGAUAUAUUGGAAGUGCUUAUUAUGUCGACUCGAAGUUGUGGGGAGUUAAUGCAUGUAUUGAUUUAUUGGGAGUGUUUAAAUUAUUUUGUGAUUUACUUGAUAGAUUGAUUGAUUGAAUAUUGUUUGAUUGCUUCAUAUCAAUUCUGGAAAGUUUAUUUCUUUGUGAAAUUUCAACGAAAUAUGUUUUUUAAAAUAAUAAGGGUGUUUUAAGUAAUUUUGAAAAAUAAAUACACUAAUUAGAAUUAAUUAUUAAGUAAUUAACUCGAACUGUAGAGGAUAAGCAAACAUUUAUCCUAAUUAUAUUAUGAUAAAUCCUUUUCCAACUAGAAUUAGGAAACCAUAGAUAUACAGAUUUUUAUUUUUAUUUCCCUUUGCGAAAACGGAUUAGAGAAUUAGAAAACAAUCCUAGUGAGACUAUUGUUAGGUUUAAUAUUUUGUCGAAUUUGGAAACUUUUUGUCGAAUUAGAAAACAUGCGUGGUGAAUAUUUUGUCGCAUGCAAACUUUUUGUUUUAUGCAAAUCGUACUGAACAUUGGGACUGAUGUUUAAGAAAAAAAUUCUGUAGUUAAAGAAAAACAAAAAGGCAUGUUGAAUAGAUUACGAUAGUUUAUUCAAUUGGGAAUUUUUUUUCUUUAAUUUUUGUUGUACUUGAUUGAGAUUUCUCCUUGGUCCUUACAGUCUUAAGUUUGGAUACCGUAGGAUUAGUAAUUUCGUACUUCCUUUGCAAGCUGAGUAUAAGGAUGAAAUUCUUUUAAGAAAUUAAAAAAAAAUGAUAAAAAAGGCAUACCAGUAGGCAAUUAUAAAUAACCACAAAUAAAUAUAAACAAAAUGUUUAUGAAGUAAAUUAAACAUGCACAUAUUAUUUUCUUUUAUUUUCUGCUUGGAAACCCAUAAAUACACUAAUCCAGUACUACUAAUUUCAGAUAGAAAAAUUUGAACUCUAAGCUGCAGUUUGACUCAAAAUGAUGAUCACUGGCUUCGCACCAUUUAACCGGUAUACAUUUCUACAAACUGAACAAGGCUAUUGAUUUUUAUUAUUAUUUUAAUUUGUUUAUAAAUUACUAUUUUAAUUUUCACUUUUUAUUGGGUUGUGUAACGGAUUAGUGAAGCUGGUGGUCGUUGAUGCACUUACAAGGUACAAUUUUAUUUUAUAAUUUCAAAUUCGUAUUUUAAAAUGCAGGUACAUUAUGUAUACAUAAUUAUUGAUUUUCGUAUGAGGGUGUUUUGAAAUAUUGCUAAAAGACUAAACUUUAAUAAACUAUUUUUGAUCUUUUUUUUUCCUAAAGUUUGGGUGAUAUGCGCAUUUUAAAUUCAUGUGGAACAAAAGUUAAUGUUUGUAUAAAAAUUCUUUUAUUUUUUUGAGCAAAAUAGGCAAGCGAAAAAGUUUUGGCAAAUGAGUUGCAACUGAAUCCAAAACCAAUACAAUGCAAGCAUAGGAAAGAGGCCAGUGUUUAGGAUUUGAAUUUAGUAUUAAGCUGAAUUUUAUGGUACGCUCUUUUAGAGUACUGUGAUCGAUAAGCUCAGCCCCGGAUUUGCUUUUGCUUUUGCUUUUACUUCAAGUGAAAGAAAGAGGAAACCUUUUGUUUUUUCUUUGGUUUUCAACUAUGUUACCUAUACAGAGAGACAAGAUACCUGCCAUAAGUGAUGGUGUUAAAAAGAUUAAGCAGCGCACACAAACUUACUAUCGUCUAGACCAUCCAGUGAUGACCCUAGUCUUUUGGUUACGUUAGCUUUAGUUGAAAGAAGGGCCAAUUUAACAAAGACUAGAUUUGAUGGCUUACUAUGUUUAAUGUAAUGCUAAUUUUCAGGGAAUCUAAUGUUAUAACUUAUAAGAUGAUCUCCUAUGAUGAACAACAGUAACACAUUACUGUGAUUGAGAAAACUCAGUUACAAUAAACUCUUCAUUUACUCAUUGAGAAGAUUGAAUAGCAAACAGAGAAUAGAAUGAAGCAGAGGAAUCUCAUUGCCAAUAAAAUUGACCCUCUUUAAUGUUAUAUGGCACAGGUGUGGAGGAAGAACAAGUUACUUGCAGUUUUUAUAGUAAAAUAUACAGGUAUGACCAUGAUCAUUACAGUUAGGUUUUGAUGAUUUCGGAUGCUUUUUUUAAAAAAAAAAAAAUUGUGACAUCUUUGAUUUACGGUAGUUUUGUAGAAAAAAAAUAUAUAAAAAUUAAGAGGGAUGAGUUAAACUGACGAUUACAAUCAUUCCAGCAAUGCUGAUGAGUGAUACAUCACUUGAAAUUUACUUAUUAGUUGCUGAAAUGAUGAAAAAAAAAAACAAUAAACGAUAACAGUAAUAAUGUUCCCUUGCUGAAAUUCAAUUUUGACUUUCGACUCUUGGCUUUUAUGGAGAGUAAAAUGACUUGUAUAUUAUACUCAUACAAUCCACUCUACAUAAUGAUAUCGUUUUAAUAAGGCAAUGGCUGAUGAUCUCCAUUUAAAAACUACAUCAAUUUUUUUGCUUCAUUUAACUCUCUGGUUGUUGAAAAUAACCUUAAUUAUCAAAUAAUUGGAGAAAGAGUUAAGAACAUUUAACAAAUUUAUGUGCAAAAAAAAAAAAAAAAAGGAGAAGUUGAAGAGAAAGGGUGCUUGCAGAAGUGGGUGUCAAAGAUAAAUCGGUCCAUAAGAAUUAUUGGGGUUAUUUUUUGGCAAAAUAAGAACUUAUGCGAUAGCAUUUUUUAUGGGUGCAUAUAACCUCCCUUUAAAAAAAUAUAUAAUAAUUACUGCUUAAUAUAGUAUUAAAUACAAAAAUAUCAAUAUUUGACUACUUAAAUUUAUAUCAUUAGGUCCUUAAAAUUUAAAAUGGAAGAUAUGAAAGGAAAUAUAUAUAAAUUUCAUUGUCCUGGUAAAGGGCCCUCUUAUAAUCUUAUAAUAUUUGAACUUUGAUAGAUUUUUUGAAACAAAUGUACUUUUAUUUGUGUACAAUCAAUAUUUACUCAUUUAUUAUAUUUUAAUUUAUUAACUAUUAAUCAUGUAAGUAUACUUAAUCAGAAAAAUUAUAUCAAGAGAAAAUUCUAAUUUCACGCAAAAACAAAUACCAAAACAAAUAUCUCAAUUUCUAUACUAUUCACUUUCCUGUAGAAUCAAUUAUUUAAAAUGCAAGUUUGUGGCUACAGAAAACUCGCCAAAGAAAGAAGAUAAUAACAAUUGAGCAUUGAUAGCAAAACUAAUGCAUCCAAUUCUUCUUGACUUGAUGAGAUGGCGCCAUAACGUAGACACAAGUACCUAAAUUGACCGGCACUGAGUGAUGUGAAUACUACCAGCCAGUUCAUCUCUUCCAGUCUUGCUUAAUCACAAUCACAAACACCACGAGAUCGACAUUUGCAUUAUAUAUAUCUUCAGCAAUCGAAACACCUUGCAUUACCAAAUAAGCCCGUAACAGACAAAGCAAUCUUUCAUGGAGAGAAACCUUAGUCUCAGUAUGAUCACUGUGUCAUUAACCUACUGCCUGCUUCUUUGCUUGGUUGCUGCAGCAGCAGCAGCGGCAAGCAACAAUAUUACCACAGACCAACAAGCUCUUCUUGCCCUGAAAGAUCAUAUAAUUUAUGAUCCGACCAGCCUUUUAGCUCACAAUUGGACCUCGAAUACCUCUGUUUGUACCUGGAUUGGCAUCACUUGUGAUGCCAAUAGCCAUAGAGUCACAACCUUAGAUAUUUCUCAAUUCAAUCUACAAGGCACCAUCCCUCCUCAACUUGGAAACCUCUCUUCACUCACAACACUUAAUCUUAGUCAUAACAGGCUUUCUGGAAGCGUUCCCUCCUCCAUCUACACCAUGCAUACGCUAAAAUUUCUUGACUUCACUGAUAACCAGCUCUCUGGUUCAGUGUCUUCCUUCGUCUUCAACAUGUCUUCAAUAUUAGUAAUUCGUUUGACCAAUAACAUAUUUUCUGGUGAGCUUCCGAAAAAUAUUUGCAACUAUCUUCCUUAUUUGAAGGCCCUUUUCUUAAACAAAAACAUGUUUCAUGGCAAAAUUCCUUCUGCUUUAUCAAAGUGCAAACAACUGCAACAAUUAAAUUUGCAGUUCAAUAAUUUAUCCGGUGCAAUACCAAAAGAAAUCGGCAACUUGACUAUGCUCAAAGGGAUAUAUCUCCUCUACAACAAACUCCACGGUAUGUUCACAAUACUAUAUAAAUAUUUUAAUUUAUCACUUAUUAUCUUUCUUGAAUAAUUUAGCUAAGAUCUUGUAAGAGAGAUAUUUUGCAUCUACGUUAAUUUACCAGGUGAGAUACCCCACGAAAUCGCUAAUCUUCCAAAUCUAGAGGCUUUAGCGCUUGGAAUCAACAACCUAGUUGGUGUGUUACCAGCUCCCAUCUUCAACAUGUCAACACUGAAGGUACUUAUCCUCAUAAAUAACUCUCUCUCCGGAAGUCUUCCAUCAAGAGUAGACCUUUCACUUCCAACUGUUGAGCAACUUAACUUGGCACUUAAUAGAUUUUCUGGAACCAUUCCUAGUUCCAUCACCAAUGCUUCUAAGCUCACCUUUCUAGAGUUGGGAGCAAACACAUUUUCGGGGUUUAUUCCAAACACAAUUGGUAAUUUAAGAAACCUUAAGUGGCUCGGCUUGGCUAAUAACUCCUUGACAUCUUCAACCUCAAAAUUGAGCUUUCUUUCCUCUUUGGCAAAUUGCAAGAAAUUAAGAUUCGUAAACUUAAUAGGCAAUCCACUGGACGGCUUCCUUCCAAGUUCAAUAGGUAAUCUUUCUGUGUCUUUGGAAACACUUGGCAUCGGCAAUUGCAGUAUUAGUGGCAACAUUCCUCCAGCAAUUAGCAAUUUAAGCAACUUGUUGACCUUAGUAUUACACGGCAAUAAAUUGACUGGACCAAUCCCAACUACAUUCGGCCAACUGCAGAAACUCCAAGGCUUAGAUCUUGCAUUCAAUAAGUUGGUAGGUUCAUUCCCAGAUGAGCUUUGCCAUCUGGCAAGGCUGGAUCAAUUGAUCUUAUUUGGCAAUAAGCUUUCAGGAUCUAUACCUUCAUGCUUAAGCAACCUCACUUCUCUAAGAUCUCUCUAUUUAGGGUCUAAUAAGUUUACUUCUGUUAUUCCCUCAACCUUCUGGAGCCUAAAAGACAUCUUGUUCUUUGACUUUUCAUCAAAUUUCUUGGUUGGUCCUCUUUCUUUAGAUAUAGGAAAUUUGAAGGUGCUUCUAGGAAUAAGUUUAUCGAAAAAUAAUUUAUCCGGUGAUAUCCCAGCCACAAUUGGAGGACUGAAAGAUCUUCAAUUUAUGGACCUAGCAUAUAAUAGAUUGGAAGGCCCAAUUCCUAAAUCAUUUGGUGACUUGAUAAGUUUAGAAGUUCUGAAUUUAUCAAAUAAUAAAAUCUUUGGGUCUAUUCCAACAUCCAUGGAGAAACUUUUUUACCUCGGAGAGUUAAAUCUCUCUUUCAAUAAACUAGAAGGUGAGAUUCCUAGUGGAGGAACUUUUGCCAACUUCACAGCUAAGUCAUUUAUGG